ACGCGUUUCAGCACCAUAGGCACAGAGCAACAAACAGAGAGCUUCCUACAUCGUAGUGGAGAUAACCAUCUGGGAGGAGCAUCGCCAAUCCGUCAUGUGGCCGGAGAAGAUGAAGGCUUGGGCGGCCAUGGCCGACGACCCGCUCAAGACCGCGUCAUCGGCAUCGUCGCAUCCUUCGAACCCGCUGAAGCGCUACAGCCCGACGACGUUGGCAGCCGGCGGCCUCAUCGUCGUCGGCGGCCUCGGGUACCUCAUGUUCGGGGGGAAGAAGAACGGGCACGACCAGCAGGCUAGCCGGGCUUAGAGAUCGAAGGCAGUCGAGGUCGCCGAUUAGCUAGUUUACCGAGAUGUUCCAAUAAUAAGCUCUUACCCUUUUUGCCGGUUGUUCUGUACUUGUCUUGUCAUGAUAUGUAUAAUCGAGUGUGGUUUUUCGUUUAUGUGUGGCGUCUCUUGUCCAUGCACGACAUGCCAACAAUUCACUGAAUAAAGUGUCUUUCUUUUCUUGUCCUGUGGCCUAUUCGUUUGAUGAGUUGGGCUCGCACAAUUCAGUUUCAAACGGUAGAUUUAUUUAGAACAGGAUGCUCAUAAGAGAUGCGGAGAUUAUGCAGCAUUUGAACCACAUGAGACAUGGUUCGAUGUUUAAUUGUUGCUUCGUAGCAUCUGAAACCUGUUUUGUGAGGAUAGGAACCUGCCCUAAAUUACUGACAUUUCAAAGCACCCUCAUUCAGUUAACCUGCAAAUGCCCUGAAAGGCUGAAACACCAGAACAAACUAGCAGCCUACCUUCUGACAUUGUACAAACCUGCGUGCUACAUUCCUACAUUCCGAUGCUUCCUCUGCUUCCGUGUUGGAAGGUGAGCAACACCUUACAGGCUACGAUCCGUCCAAAAUCGAGUACGUCGCCAUGGCCAUCUGACCACAGUGGGACCCACAUCGUCGGCGUCAGGUGCAGGACGAGUUACAGGUAGUCACGGUCAGAUCACUUCAGCUGCUUCUGCUUCCCAUGCGCUUGCUGCUCUCGAUAUGCGCAGAGGCAAAGCCACGGAGUUUCUCUUCGAGGGCGUGGAGAAGUUGAUCGCCUGAUCCAGUCCCAAGACCUGUGUUCAUUGUGCUUUACGGGUAAGUCCUCCUUCAACAUACGUUCUUCAGGCAACUGGCAAAACAAACAUCAGAGAUGUCGAGCUGCGUUUCAGCGAUUUUUAUUCUUAGCCUUUCAGGAAAUCUCUCCAAUCGAAAUGGAUAGCACGCAGGGAAAUCAAUAUAUAUUGCAGCUUGUCUGAAGCUUUCAGCAUAAUCACAUAACGGCAAACGGCAAAAGUGAUGCUGGGAUUCUUCAGAAUUUCACCAACACAAGGUAUGGUUAGAAUGUUAAAUCGUUUGAUGGUAUCAUCUGAAACCUGUUCUGCAAGGAUACACACCUGCACCGAAUUACUGGCAUCAAAAGUACACUAAUUUAGUGUUACAGAAUCAAACUGCAAAUACCCUAAAACACCUGAAUAAGCAGCCUACGUUUCAGCCUGUAUAAUGCAUACUACAUUCUGAGCUUCUGAUGAUUCCUUGCCUACUGUUCUCUUUUAACCUCUGAUAUCUCAAACCGACGAAGCAGUGUUACAACUACAGUCUAGAUUUCUAGUCGAUCUUGACUGAAGAGUAGAUGAGCCUGGUGAACCAGAAGCAGGCGUAGAAGCCGAUGGUGCCGGUGAGCACGAAGAAGGCGUACGAGGCAAUGAGCAUGUAGCCGAAGUAGAGCACGCCCGAGACCGUCUUCGUGAUCUCCAGCUUGGUGAAGAAGUAGAACGUGGCGUACAGGAAGAGGUACAGCGCUGAUGAGCCAGCCGUCAGGUAGGACCUCCACCACCACUGGUAGUCCUCACCGCAGAGCUGGAAGUAGCAGAGCACAAUGGUGAUCUCCGCGCAGGUCAGAAUCAGGAUAACGAAGACCAGGAACAGGAAACCGAAGAUGUAGUAGAACUGGUGCAGCCAGAUCGAUGUCAGGAUGAAGAAGAGCUCGAUGAACACAGCGCCAAAGGGCAGGAUGCCUCCGAUCAAUACUGAGACAACUGGGUUCAUGUACCAUGGCUGCUCUGGUAUUGCUCGUGGUAUCUUGUUUGUCCUCACGGGGUCCUCCAUGGCAGGCUUCUUGAACCCAAGGUAGCUGCCGACGAAGACCAGCGGCACAGAGAUCCCGAACCAGAGGAGGACUAGUGCAAACAUGGUGGUGAAUGGCACAGCACCAGAGGACUUCUCACCCCAGAUGAGAGCAUUCAGGACGAAGAAUAUUGCAAACACAAUGCCGGGGAACAUCAAGGCCGUCUUGAUUGUGAUGUUCUUCCAUUCUGAGCCCUUGAACAUCUUGUAAAGGCGCGAGGAGGAGUACCCUGCAAAUAGGCCCAUGAAGACCCAGAGGAGGAGCAUUGCUGUCAUAAGCCCUCCCCGGUUCGAUGGCGAGAGUAGCCCAAGGAUGGCGAACAGCAAGGUGACAAGCAGCAUCCCAAAAAACUGUACGCCUGUCCCAACAUAUACGCACAGCAGGUCUGCGUUGACAGGAGGCCUGAACACAUCGCCAUGGACAAGCUUCCACCCUGUCUCCUCCUGAGCAUCCUCCUGGUCCUCUAACUGGUUGUACUUGGAGAUGUCGCGGUACAGUGUCCGGAGCAUGAUCAUGGCAACCAUCCCAGAGAGGAAGAGGACUAUCAUCAGAGAAUUCACAAUAGAAAACCAAUGGAUUUGAUCGUCUGCCAUCAGAAGGUAGGUGUCCCAGCGUGAUGCCCACUUGAUAGGACUUUCCUGCAUGACGCACAUAUGAACAAAAAAUGUCAGAAGAUUUGAAGUUUUCUCAAGGAAAUAUUAGACCGUCUAUCUGAAGGUAUACAGUGGGGAACUUUGUCGUUAUGCAUUAAAGCUGAUCAUAGACAAACAAUUCAAGAUGAUGAAUAGUUGAAACUACCUCAAAGUUAACAUCAUAAGUGAAAACAAUCUCUUUAUUGGCUUCUACUUCUUGAGGUGAAUUUGAGUCUACGACUAGACGUCUCGAGUGCGGAUCACAUGUUUUCAGGGGUGUAGCAGUCUCCUUCCAAUCGCCAUCAUAUUCAUGCUUAACACUGCAGAGUAUAUGAUAAAAUAAUCAUAUGAACCUAAAACGGUAGCGAGCAUCAUGCCAUAGGUUCAGAAAUGACAAGUGAGGAUGCCUGCCUGUAUGGUUUGACCUCAAAGGCCACAAUCCUAGCAAGAUCCGUGUUUGCAUCCUUGUGAUAUUUCACCAGAAAUGUGAAGUGGUUGUGGAUGAAAUGCUUCUCCUCCUUGCUCUGCAUCCAUGACAUUCAAAUCAGAACACAUUUAGCAUAAGCCAGAAGCAUCGGUUUUCGUAGCUAGAUACAGAUUAUCAACCCACCCCUGAGUACUGUCCCUUGACGCCGACAUGCACACCUUGUUGAUAGACAGUAGGCACAUCUUGAUCCAACCUCUUAAUAGGGACGACCAAAGGAAGGUUGUCAAGAAUCCUGAAACCACAAAACCAAGGUUCACUUCCCCGUUCCAGUCACCUACUCACCUGAAAUAUAUGGGCCUUUGAUCUACGUCUAUGCAACUGCAAGCAGUAAAUGGCCUCUCACAUGUUUAUGCGGUACUCAUCGUCGAUUUUCUCCUUCAGAUCCUUGGCUUCGUCUUGGUUCGGAGCAACCUUGCACACGAUCUGGCACAGCUUGGGCUCCAUCAUCUCGAACUGCAUUUCAAGGACCACGAUUGAAAAUUUCCCAAAGGGACCGAGCUAUAAUUGCAGCAAACAUACACGAGUGACCUUUUCCUGGGCCUACUCAGAACAGCAGGUGGGUACUACAAACAUAUACAGGAACUCAGGAAGCAAAUGGUGGAGCACCUAGUACUGGUCCCAUAGGCUUACCACGUAUAGCGAAUUCUCGAUGCGGUCGCCGCGGAGGACCUCGCCGAGGUUCUCGGCGCUGUCGACGAUGGUCCCCGGCCUGCAGAAGGGGAGGGAGUAGUAGGAGUAGGGCAGCUGCGUCUUGAUGGAGCUCAGUUGGUUCACCUUCACGGCGAGCGGGUCCUUCUGCAAUCCACACAUCACCACAGCCUCAGCGCGUGAGGAGCCGACUCACCGAGACCGUCAAACCGACAUGCCAGGCGAAGAAGAGAGAAACGCGAAACAGAGAGCAGGAACGGAAAGGGCGGGACCUUGCGGAAGUCGGCGGGGGCGACGCCGGGGAGGUAGAACCCGCGCGCGGCGCCGGCGCCGGCGAGCACGGCUACGGCAACGAGGAGGAGCGCCAUCACCGGGCGGGUCGUCGCCAUGGGUGGCCGGGGAUCGGGAAGGGAGGUAGGGAGGGCGAGGAGGAGGUGGGAAGGGGGGGAAUUCGUCGCCGCCGGCCGGGGUGUGGCCUUUGCUCGGAUUUGACGGGUGUCCCCGGGGCGGCUGGCGGGGUUAGGUGUGAGGCUGGCAGGUGGGCCCGGAACCCCGCGCGGUUCGGCGGGGCGUCUCGCCUCCCGUACUUGACACCUCGUGUGGCCCACCGAAUCGCGGAUUCCAGAGGUGGGCCGCGGGACCCACCGGUGGUGCGCGAAUCACGACGCGGGUUAACUACGGUGGUUUAGGAUACACGGUCCAGCCGUACAUGCUGGUUACGUUACAUACAUUACGCAUUAUGAAACGGUGCAAGUUGCGUGUUAGCGAUACUUUAGAGCGUAGUGUCAGCGAUACUUAGCGUACUACUCCCUCCCUCCCUUCCGGAAGUCGUUUUGACUUUUCUAUGUACACUAUGAUCAUGCUUGUGCGUUGAGCAACACAAAUUCCCUCCACAAGCAUCAAACGGAUUCAUAUGAAACAUCUGUACAACAAGUAUCAAUGGAAACAUAUACUUUUGCCUUUACAUAUCAUUGUCAACUUCUAAUUUAAAAAAUUAUAUUUGCCACCGUAGUAUACUAUGUAUGUGCGUUGCUACGAGAGCUUAGACAACAAAGAAACAUGUCUUAAAUAGUUUACAGCAUUUAGGUAUUAUUCAUCAUGAAUGGCUGCUUGUAACGGAGUGCAUAUGAGCUUAAAGCAACUUCGUGCGUAUGGUCCAUGGACUUAAAUGAGAUGACAGAUGCUUGAGCUGUUCUGAAUAUAUUACAAUGAACCUCAACACGAUGGGAAAUCAAAACAUUGGACCCUUUUCAUGACCAUACACAUGAGUUGUUGCUUCUGGUUGCAUUACUGUUACAACGUUGGACAAGAGUCAAAUUUCAAUUUGAAACAAGUACUUGGAAUAGCAGGAAGAUGUGCUCUACGUGAUAGCCAACAACCAAAAGAAUAGGUGCUGCAACAUGGAAAGGUUUUCUAAGAGAUGAUCCAACUAUACAUAAGCUCACCAUACUACUUUGACUACUAAUUAAACACAAUUUGGAUGCAAGCAAGCAACCCAUUUAAAUUGCACAAUAUCAACAAGUUAAAGAGACCAAGCUGUCUUCUGUUUCAAAAAAAAAAAUCAGAACAAUUCCAUGGUAGCAACGAUUCAGCUAACUAAAUCUAAUUUCUUUCAGGCUCUGCCUUGGAAUGCGAUCGCUUUUCUAAAGUUUAAAACACAAAAAUUCUACACAAGUAAGUUAACCUUUGUUUCUUUAGGAUGACACAUAUAACACGGGACUAAUCUUCAUUUGUUUAAUGUCACAGAAUAUACUACCAUAACUUGUAUGCAUGCUCUGAGUGCUAGAAAACGAUCAGACAAACCAACAUACAUGUUGAUGGCUGAAUAUGUACAAUGAACAAUCGCAUCAGAAGGUGAUCAACUCCCUGUUAGACAUGACCUGCUGCUUUCAGUCAAAUUUGAUGCUGGGGUGCAGAUUGACCACUAUGAUCCAUAUGCUUCCUAUGAACAAACAUUUUAGCUAUAUGUCUCAAAUCAAAGCGGAAGCAAGAAACUGAUCUCACCUUAGUGGUCCAGCAAUAGCACCACAUGUAUUUCAUCGGGCACCCUUUAAGCAGCCUCCAUAUCCCAGCCCUAGCAUACAUUCCAACUAGGAUUAUCACAAGCAGGUCAGGCACAAACACUUUGUCCACACUGCAACACUCGUGCAUAUGCCUGACCAAGAUGGUUCAGACUUCAGGGAAGCCAAGCACCACCACAGUCGCCGGUCGGCUUGCUACUCCUCCAGAUGACCCACCACUAUGGAUGGUAGCGGGCACAUUACCCGCGGGCAGAGGGUUUAUAGACCCGUGCCCGCGCCCACCGCCCAUCACGGGUAAGAAGUUGUGCUCGCGCCUGUCACCCACGGGCACAGUCUACCCACGGGCACACCCGUGCCCGCCAGGCAACCAGCACCUCUCACUCCAGCGGCGGAGCAGCAUCAAGCGGAACCGGGCAUCGGGCGGCGGAGCGGGCAGUGGGGAGCGAGGGCGGGCGGCGGAGAGGUGGCGACGGGGAGCGAGGGCGGGCGGGCGGCGGCCGCCUGGUCCCUGGUGUGCGGGGUGCGGGGCUGCGGGCGUGCAGGUGCGGCUGGGAGCCUGGGAGGAUUGGAGGAACGAAAGAGGAGGAACCCUAGAAAUCGCUUAUAUAGUUGUAGCGGGUUCGCAGGUUUGCGGGCACGGGUAAGGUAUUUUUAUGCCCGCUAAUUUUUUACCCCGCACAAACUCAAACCCGCACCCGUACCUGUGGCAGAAAAUAGAACCCAUAUCCUCGCUCUACAGGGUUUUUGCCCGCGGGCACGCGGGUAAUUUGUGCCCGUUGCCAUCCAUACCCAGCCUUCUACACUAAUAGUGAUAUUAUCCUCAAAAGCUCUUGUAAUCUGUAAGAUAAUCAACAACCAAUGUUUCAAUGGAAAUGUCUUUAGUAAAGAAUAUGCUCUUAACGGAAAAACAAUGUGAAAUUAUGAACUGAGUUGGUUUUUCUUGUCUAAGGGAUGGAUAAAGGGAUGACAUGCUAUUGAAAUAACACUGAGAGGCUAUCUAAGUUGACCACCUAGGCAACACAAUUAAUCGACCAUGAGUAACAUUCAGAUAAGCGGUUCAGAAACAGAACAUUCAGAAUUUUAGAUAUACAUCCAUCCAUAAUUUCUAGAUGGAAACCUGUGCGUUGCCACGGUUGUAACAAAUUCUCUUUAUAAGCAUCAAUUUUUAUUAUAACGAAACAAGGUAAUAGACUCGUAUCUUUUGACUUAAAUAUAUUCACGAUCAAUAUACAUAUUUCAAAAUAGGCAAACGAAUUAUUGAACAAUUAUAUUCAUGGCUGAGUGCUGAUUGUCAAACCAGAAGGUUCGGAGGCAACAUCAUGCCGAUGAUGGUUGAUAGAUGUCCUCAUAUAGUUGAACCAAGAAACACCAUUUCAUUAACCGUUGUCACAAUAUGAUGGCACUAAACUAACAAUACCAGAGAUGAAAUCACACUCGUGGCAGAGCUGUAUUCCCUCUAAUAGCUAAAGAUGUUAAAUACUCAAAUUAGCUAAAUAAGCUUGGAAAAGAUCGGUACACUAUUCUAAGCCUAUUCUGAGAACGCAACUGCUGGUAAUCAAUUUUGUAUAAGCUUGGAAAAAUCUGAUACAUGUAUCUCGUGAAUGCACAGAAAAGUUUACCUCGCAUUAUUUUAGUAUAGAAAGUGCAUAAGCCUUGAGUGCCCCAACAUGCCAAAUUCCAAGCUGCCUUGCAAAUACAAGCGAAAGAACACUGUCAUUUGCUAAUAAAUAAGAAUGGAGAAGCAUCAGUUACUGAAGACUCUUCACUGAAUAGCAACAGUAUGAACUGAAGACAUGAAAUCCGAGUGUCAUUCUGCAGAGGUAAGGUGAAACAUAAUGCAAAAGUAAGAGCAAUGUGUUUUGACAAUUCCUGUUCUAAUUGUAGUACUGCUAGCAGAAUUUAUGUAUGGCUCUAACAAAAUUAACAAAUUUAUGGAAAGUUCUUUUGAGCUUUCCUGGUUUGAAAAAGAAGCACAUCAGCCAGAAAAUAAUGGUAACAAAUGGCAGCAGCCCUCUGUCUCCUCCUUAUCGGCCAUGUCUAUGAUGUGGUGGCAGCACCACAUGCAAAUCUGCACGUAGACGGAGAAUUGAUUAAAUGACAGUUCAAUGGAUAGGAGGAUUAUUGAUAUACAUACAUUAUAUAUAUCCGCAUCUGCAUGGAUUGAGGUGCUGAUCAGAGAUGUCCAUCUCCUUGGCACAGAUAGUCUUCAACACUGCUCAUGAUAGUCCUGAUGAAUGAUCAACCAACAACAAAAUUAGCAACAUUAGUAUAAUACACAGUGAAUUUCAUGGUACAAUCUCUCAGCUGACAGCUAAUAUUUGAAUAGACCGAAUUUGCAAUAUACCCGGCAAAUUGUUUGAUCAUUCAAUGAUCACCCAGAAUUAUACACAAAAACAGACUCCACAUAGACAUGAAUCAACGGGUCGCCGGACGACAGGCCGCUGGGCAAGCUCACAUCUGCUGAAUGCAAUAAUUUUCCACACAGAAAUUAUUUUGAGAGGUAACCAUAUGCUACACGUUUGGUGCUUAUAUAUAAAAAAGAUGUCUUCUGGAUACCAUCAUAGUAAUACCAUGCUGUGCAAUUUGAUAAUCUGAAUAAAAAAUGUUAGAGCAAUCAGCACAACAUUUCAACAGAUGGUUGGUAUGCACAAUGAGCAGAUCACCAACCUUGUUUAAUUGGUGUGCACGAUGGAUCCCAUUCGAGUUAAUGCCGCUUUCUGCCAAUGUGUAAAAUGAUCUAUUGAAUUAUUUUACCAGACAAAACUUUGGAUGCGCCAAGUAAUAAUCAGAGCUUACCUUUUUGUCAUCUUUCACAUUAUCCUUUAGUAUCCUCUCCCUGUAUUCUGUGCAUUUAAACAGAAAAAAACAAUUUUACUCUUCCUUCGUGGCAUGAUAAAAAUGAAAUCAAAUAAGUAGACAGAUGAAACAUUCUCACAUCCAUGUUGUAUCAACUAAUCGGUAUUGGCGUGAAGUCAAGUAAAUUAGGGAUAAAUUGCUCCGCCUUCCAGACGAAGAUCGAGUCGGUUUCCACCGCAUGCUGCUGCAUACGGCUCGUCGAUCAAGGCAGAGGCGAAUCUGAUUCGAGUUGGGAGAUCAGGCAGACCGAGGGACCCAUGCCAUAAUUCCCAAGAUGACAAAGAUCUAUUAUUACAGUCACGCGUGGAUUGAGGCAAAUAAUCAGCUCCAACUACUCUAUGUGAAAAACAAUUUUGAGGGAUUUGUGCUACACGCACAUGAAAGGCUACCAUAAGAACUCAAAAUCAUAGCCUAACAUACAUAGAAGAUAUACGCGAGCACUGCUACCCGACGUCUGGGUGCAUCAAGUCGCCAACGACUACUUCGACUACUCGUCUCGACUAGAAAACUAGUCCAGGACGGUCUAUUUUGACUACUCGUCUCGGGCGAGUUCCACGUGAUCACCAACUAGUCGGAAUCAACUCCGACUAGUUGGCUUCAUCAACAAUCUACACGGCUUCGUCGACAAUCGUCCACUAAUCAAGCUAAGUCACUUUUUAAUUAUUUUAUAUAAAUUUUCUGGCUUGUUUUCCGCAUGCAGGGCAAUGUGCCAAGUACUUAUUUGUGUGUGUCUUUCGAUGGUAAUUACCAUCCAGAGCUACACUUCGCCGACUAUUCUUGUAACGCCCAUAAAAUUCACCAACCAAAUCACUCGCUAAAAAUCGCUUUCAAAAUCUUUCACCGCUUGAGCUCUCUAAAAUCCAGUCUUCCCGGCAAGUUCGCCAUCCCGGCACCGAAGCCGACCGCCGUCCAGCCGUGUUCCCCUUUUAUCUCUCCGCGAGUCACGCCGCAUGCUGGACGGAAGACCACCGCGCGUGCCCGUGACCGUUCCCGCAAUCCCCGCCGUCUCUCCCUUUUUCUUCUCUUUUUCCUUCCCCUUUUCCCUUCCUUUUUCUCCCUUUUUCAUCUCUUCCAUAUUUCCUUUCUUUUCUUCUUCUCCCUUCCUUUUUCCUUUUCUUUUUCCCUUCCUCCCUUUUUCUCUCAAGUGACGCACCUAGCUUCUUUUUCCCCUGCCGCAUGCAUGCAUGCAUGCACCAAUAUUUUUUUUAUUUUUUUCUUCCUGGCCGUGCCCGCUCCCCCCUCCCCCCGUCGCAUGUCCUGGCCCCACCUGUGCCUACAUCCUUUCCCUGGCACACACGCCUGCUCCCACGGCUUGGCCCCCCAGCGCUAGCUCCCCUACUGCACGCCACCCGCGCCUAGCCCUAGGCCCACGCCUGCCCCCGGCCCCACCUGCACAGCGCACCCACCCCAGCGCACCGCUGCCCAGCGCCCGGCUCCUCCCUCACGUGUGCCCCUGCGCUAGCCCCGCACGCCGCACACCGUUCGCCGCCGCGCUUGCUCACCGCGCACCGGCACACGUCCUUACCGCCUACCCCUCCCAACGCGCGACGUCGCGCUAGCGCUGCACCCUGCCGCACGCGCCCACGCACAGCACCACCGCGCACCGGCCUCCCCGGUGCGAGCGCGCUCGCCGCGGCCACCGCACCCGGCGUGCCUCAACGACGCCGUGCCACACCAACAGCUCACCACCAGCGCCCGACCACGCCGUCCAUGCCCAUCGCCGCUCGAGCAUGCCACCGUGUCCCUGUUCACCUCGCCGCGCGAGCCCAGCCCCGCCACGCCGUGCACGCAGAGCUCCACCUCGCCAUGCCACCGUCCUGUGCGCUUCCUAUUCCUGAGCAUCCCGACGGCUAUUAACUCUGCCGUUCCUAUGCGCCGCCCGUCGGCAGCCCCUCCCCUCGCCUCCGACCUAUAAAAGGCCCUCGACUCCACCAUCGAGCUUCCGGCCAACUCCCUUUGCUCCCGUGCUUCCAGUGCCGUUCCUGCAGUCUCUCGCCCGUCGUCGCGGAACCGCCUCUACGAGCCGCCUCAACCCGAGGUAAGGAGAGGAAUCGAAUCCCAUCGGCCUCCUCUCCGUUUUCCCCCACUUUUCGGUCGUAGCCGUGCCCCGACGCCUCCUCUCCCCAACCGUGCUGCCCCUCCUAUUUUUCCCGUGCGAUGUUCUGUCUCGAGGAAGAAGAAAUGUCAUUUUGUAUUUUCACCCAUCCACUUUUUCCUUUUUGCAUACAGACCCUCCCACCUCUCUCAAACUUUCUUUGCCGAUCAGCCCCUCUACCUCCCAAAGAUAAUUACAAACAAGUCUCUGGUUCUCGCAGAUUGGUUCUAAGCCCAGUUUUAACCCCUAAAUACAUUGUUAUGUCGUUAUUUCAUGCGCCAAACUUCCUCCAAUUAAUCCCAAAUUUGACCACGGCAUCCUCCAAUAUAUUCCCGCCGAGUCAUCUCCAAAUUCCAUGAAAAUACUCAUUACUCCUAAUUUCCGUUCAUGUUCUCUGUCCAAGCUCAUUGGGUAAAGCUUUAUUUUUUUCUUUUAUUUAUUGUGUGCCCAAUUGUGUGUGUUGUAGAUCGCGGAGUUCCCAAGGAAGAGCCCGAAGAGGAGCUUGACGACCAGUACCGCAAGCUGAAGCCCGAAGACCAGCACCGCGAGCAGGAACUCCCGGAAGGCUUUGAGGAUGGCAAGCUCAAUCUCAUCCUUUGAUGCAUAUUUAUCCUAGUUUUUUCAAACACAACCUAUUGGCCUAUUUUUUAAAAUUGCAUAUUGUUUUACUGCUGAAACACAGUUGGAUAGCCACCCCUUGAUUGUUAUGAUUAUUCCUUGAUUGUCCUAUAAUUAUCUCUAAAUAUGAUUUGCUCUGUUUGGAUGAUAAUUACUGCUAGAAUGCUUAGGACCUUGUUACUCAAUUCAAUCAUGACUACAAUGUGUUUUGUUAAAGAAUAAAUGUGUGAGUGUUUUUAAAAGGGAAAAUGGAUUUUCGGAAAUAAAGGAAAGAAAUGUUUAGAUGAGAUGGAUGGGUGUUUCUUGUGUGAAAUGCCAAUAAGUUGGGCUCGUACCUUUGUGGUUGAGCAAGGUUGGGAGAUAUCCAUUUUGUCACGAAUUAAGGAUCGAGUUGAUGUGUCAUCUUGCCUAACCCAACCUUUGUGCAACCACUUGACCGUUGUCUGCGGCAACAGUUAGCAUAAAUCCCACUAGCUAGUAUAUUAGUCAUCAGGAGAGCUGAUGAGCAACGGGAGACCAUGGAGAAGGACUAAGAUCUUUGUGAUUUAGGUCUUGAUUAAGACCUCGUUGGUAGGUCAUUAACCCCUUGGUUGCUCCCGUGUUGGCUAGUCAGUCUUAGCUAAGAUGGGUAAUAGCUUUGAUAGGAUCAGCACCGGCACUAAGGUGAUCACAUUGCGAUACCCUACUUGUGGGAAAAGUGUACAGCCUCUGCAGAGUUAAAACCUAUCCGGGUAGCCAUGUUAAUGGCAUUGGACGAGUUACGGCUUGUUCAUAUAACUAGUGCUUGGAGAUAGAUGAUUUUCAUGGCGUCUGUUGGAUUUUGGAAGUGUCCGGCAGUUGUGCCGUGAGCUACUAUGGACGGGGAGCCCAGUAGCAUUAAAACUUGGAUCCUUUGUGUAGGGUCAACCCUAUUCAUUGAUUCGGUUAGUAAACAAAUGCUUUGCGAAAGCUCUUUUCAAAAUGGAUAAGGGCAUAUGUUGAAAAUCUAGCUUUAUUGCAAAUAAACCUUAGCCUUAUUCUUGAUGUAUCCUGUGCAUAUUCUUGAUUGUAUCCCCCUCUGUGGAUGGGGUUGGACUUGUUGAGUACUUUUGUACUCACCCUUGUUUUGUUGCUUCAGAGGAAGACCCGGACUUCGUUGCCGAGGAUUUCGAGUAGGAGAUCGCUUCCGCACCCACACUGCUUGUGGUGUUGGCCUUUGUAGAAUGCUUCCGCUGCUGUGUAGUCCCGAGUGCUGUCUCUUGACAAUAGCUUGGUUCGCUGCUGUUGUUUAUUUACUUAUCAUUUUGGCAUGGCUUUCGCGCCCACUCCCUCGGGAGUUGUACGGUUUCUGAACUAUCUGUUGAAUAAAUAUGUUAUCAGCCUCCUGGGACUGAUAUUUGUAUCAUAUUUAGUCUCUACUUAUGUGGGGAUGCUUCAAUUCUUGGGGCAUGUUGACCGACAACCAUGGCUUGGUACACCGAAUUAUAGAGGUUAUCGCCACGCGUUUGGUGCAGUGAGUUCCGGAAGCUCCACCACAGGCUUGGUACACCGAAUUAGGAGGCUCUGCCACGGAAGUUUGGUGCACUGAGUGCUGGAGGCUCGCAGCUGCUACACCCUAAGGAGGCACAAAUCCUAUGCGCGGCAACACACGCUCUUCUCGCCAAAAGGUAGAAAAGUCUCAACGACUACUUUAAGUGCAAUCGCGUCGUCUUUUUGUUGCAAUGCCGACUAUUUAUUUUAAAUGUCUUCUCUUAGCGGUUGCCAAUAUCCUCGAGCAGAACACGCCUCAAUUUGUGAAAGCCUUGGAUCUUCUGUCCUGCCUAAACGCUAGGACAUGAGACAAAGAUCUCCGUAGCAGCAGUGCUAUUACGCGUACACGAGACAAAGAUCUCACACGCAGUGGCAAUGGCUAAACAGGGACUGGGAGCCUAAACGUAAUAGGCUAACUGCUCGGGAAAAAUAUGACCGAAACAAGAGCAUGACACACAAUAUUUACAUUACAUUCAUCACUGAAUCAAUUUCAAUAGUUUUAAUAUUCUACAAACAUGCUACAUAAUGUAUGCAUCUCUUUUUGCAGGUCAAGCUUCGGCAACGACUCUCCAGGACACUCCGCGUACCUAUAAUGGCUCACUGGCUCUCAGACUUGAGGUUAAGCGCCAAUUACUACUCGGAAUAUCUCAAGUGGCUCAACUAGCUUCCAAGCUCGGGGGUUAAGUGCUAAUAACUACUCGAUGUGGCUUCUACGGUUCACCUAGCUCAUAAGCUCAGGGGCUGGACGCCGCAAUACAACUCGGAUGAUGACUUGCGUGAAGACUGAAGACCAUCGGAUUAGUUAUUUAAUCAUUCCAAGGCUCGGUGGCUGAUGAGCUACACCCAACAGUUGAUUUUUUCAAGAUGAAGAAAGAAGAUUUAAGAUUUUAUUGACCCUCUAUCGGUGUUUAGAUCCGGCAACCUACCGAGGGGGUGCCUGAGGUAGUGUUUUAGUUAAUGGGGCUUGCCGAGAUCAGGAACUCGAAGGGGAACACAUACACACGAUUUAGACAGGUUCGGGCCACUAGAUUGUGUAAUACCCUACGUCCUGUGUGUUGGUUGGAUUGAAUUGUUUUGGAGGGGGUCCCUGCGUUACCUUAUAUUGUCGAGGGUAGGGUUACAAGUCGGUUGAUUUACAAGAAUACUAGUCGGAUUCGACUAGACGAGUCCUACUCUGAAUGCUACGAGUACUUUUUCUAAUCCUCGACUAGUUUCUGUCUUCCACGAAGACUACGCCGUCUUGCGCUAUAGCCUCUAUGUCAGAUACGUCUCGAUAUCCAGCCCUAUAUUUAGGUCUUUCCAAACCUUCUGGUGGGCCUAUAGAUGUAUGUACGACACCCUCAGCUUGAUUCUUUGAUUCAUCCUAAGGCUCAGGGGCUACUCCAUAUGGAGUGCGACUUCCGCCGCCCUCCAUAUCACAUUCAAAAAAUGAAGAUUACAAAAUCAACGAUCAAGGGCUUGAGCACACUAUAGCCUCAUGGCAGCUUUGAAGAACUUUGAAGAUUCAGCCAGACAAAGAACUCGAGAAGCACUAAACUACUCGGCGAGGAUCUGAAAAGUACCCGAAGACUGCUGCAUUCGAUUAUGAAGCGUUCGGGGGCUUGUCGGGGAUAUAUCCCUGGUACCUGCAUGGAAGGAAGAAGACGGACUCCUACUAGGAUUCCUCUGUAAUCCUAUUAGGAUUUAUAUCAUGUAAUCCUGCUAGGACUCUUCCUUGUAACCAACUAGUAAUCCCGCUCCUAAAGUAUAUAAAGGAGGGUAGGGGUCUCUAAAUCGGUAGGCGAAGACCUCAUAGAAUCACAACAGAGGACCAAAAUCCUCAACACCAAAUAACACCCAAGUGUAGGGCGCAAUAUACAACACCCCAAACAGGAUGCAGGGUAUUACGCUCUCUAGCUGCCCGAACCUGUAUAAAUCUUUGUCUUGUGUCCUCGCUUUUACCUUCGAGUUACAGAUCCGACGAUCCUCUACCAACUAAUCUACUACCUCGAGAUACCCUAUCGGUAGGUUGUCGGGUAUAAAACACCGAUACUACUGUAGGUACUGUUCUUAUAUGCUCACAAGAUCGAUUAGAUUUUGUGUUGACGACGUGUCAAGCCUGAACAAAGACGCUUGGAAGUAUGAUUAUCGUUGGAGCUGUGAGUGGCCUCAGUGGGGAGAUGCAAACGUGCCGCCGUCUCAGCGUCUCUCCAGGAACAGCCGAACAGGUGUGCGCGCACGCCACUAGGGAACGGCGGCGCAGCUGUCCAUGGCGCACUAGGCGCUGCAUUUUCGCCGAGAUGCUGGUACAAGCCAUCGUCAUGCGCCGGACUAUCGGUUCUCCGUGCUGUUUGAGUGUUUUGUUUGACCGGCCGAAAGCCGGCAGCUUGUUGGCGGGGGUUGCGUGCCAGCCCCGCGCGCUGCCUCGUGGUUCGGCGAAAUCUGUGGCAGUUUGGCAGGGUCGCCAUUCGCCAAGUCAUCUUUGAAUCGAUAUUGGGAUGGUCCUUGGCAUGAUGUGGAUUUGGACAACGAAAUGCAUCCGAUCCGAGACCUUUUGUUUGACCGAUUUUCACGCAGCCUGCUGAGUGGGCUGACCCGAAAUUUGAGCAUACUGACAUUGCUCCCAUGGGCCACUUAACGCUUCGACAGGCUGCAAGAGGGUGUGCGCCGAGCUUUUCUGUUUGCAGCAGCAGCCUGAGGGGCUUUCCCACCAGCUCAAACAAAUGAAAAGCACGCUGCAAACGGAUAUGAAGUAGCCUAGAUAUAAAUUUAAAUGCAAGAUCAUAUAUACAGCUAACAACAUAACUCGAUGUUAUGAAAUUCGGGCAAUGCCCUUAGUGUAAAAAAACAUAACUCGAUGUUACCAGAUUUAUGAUGAACUUUUAAUUCAAACAUCAUUCUGCCCUACAACUUUUGUCAAAGUAACACACUGUAGAUUGCAUCAAUUAUAGCAUGAAAAAGGCGACUACAGUGAGAUGCUCAUCAUGGAUAGUGAGAUUAUUCAGCAUUUCUGCAACAGAAACAUGUAGUUAAUCAGUUGAUUGAACACAAAGUUGUGGGGUAAGGAUGCACGCAUGCACCAAGUUACUGAAAUCAAGCUUUCAGUCUAACUGAAUUAAUUCGUAAACCUCCUAAAGACUCCUGAAUAUAAACAUGCUACGUUCACAUCAUAUUUCAUUUCCCACCUUCAACCUCUAACUUCUCAAGCCGACAGUAAAGUGAUGCAAUUAUAGAUUCCUAGUCAAUCUUCACUGAAGAGUAUAUGAGCCUGGUGAACCACAAGCAGGCGUAGAAGCCAAUGGUGCCAGUGAGCACGAAGAAGGCGUACGACACGAUGAACAUGUAGCCAAAAAAGAGCAUGCCGGAGACCGCCUUUGUGAUCUGCAGCCUGGUGAAGAAAUAGAAUGCGGCGUACAAGAAUAGGUACACUGCAGAGGAUCCAGAAGUCAAGUAGGACCUCCACCACCACCGGUAGUCCUCGUUGCACAGCUGAAAAUAGCAGAGCACAAUGGUGAUCUCUGCGCAGGUCACUAUAAGGAUUACGAAGACGAGGAACACGAUCCCAAACAUGUAGUAGAACUGGUGCGUCCAGAUUGUUGUCAGGAUGUAGAAGAGCUCAAUGAACACCGCGCCAAAGGGCAGGAUGCCUCCGAUCGAUAUCGAGACGGCUGGAUUCGUGUACCAUGGCUGCUCCGGUAUCGGCCGCGGUAUCUUGUUUGUCCUCACCGGGUCGUCAAUGGCAGGCUUCUUAAACCCGAGGAAGCUGCCGAUGAAGAUUAGUGGCAAAGAGAUUCCAAGCCACAGGAAAACCAGUGCGAACAUGGUGGUGACUGGCACAGCCCCGGAGGAUUUCUCGACCCAGAGGAGCAUGUUCAGGGUAAAGAAUAUUAGGAACACAGCACCAGGGAACAUCAAGGCCGUCUUGAUGGCGACCUUCUUCCAUUCUGAGCCCCUGAACAUCAUGUAAAGGCGUCCAGUAGAGUACCCUGCAAACAGGCCCAUGAGGACCCAGAGCAGGAGCAUGGCUGUCAUGAACCCUCCACGGUUUGAAGGCGACAGGAGCCCCAGGAUGGCGAGCAGCAAGGUGACAAGCAGCAUUCCAAAGAACUGUACACCUGUACCCACGUACACGCACAGCGUGUCAGCAUUCACAGGAGGCCUGAACACAUCGCCGUGGAGAAGCUUCCACCCAGACUCCUCCUGUGCUUCCUCCUGGUUCUCUAGCUGGUUGUACAUGGAAAUGUCACGGUACAGAGUCCGGAGCAUGAUCAUGGCAACCAUCACAGAGAGGAAGAGGACUGUCAUAAGAGUAUUCACAAUGUAAAACCAAUGAUCGUCAGGCGUGCUAAGGUAAGUGUCCCAGCGUGAUGCCCACUUGAUAUCACUUUCCUGCAUUGAGAAAGCAUGUGAACAAAAAUGAAAAGGUCAGGAAAUCUAAACUUUGCAAUGAAAAAUCCGACCAUAGGACUCCUAGGUCUCAAUAACGGGGAUGGUUGUAUACAAUCAACUUGGCAAGUAGAAGAAUUGGAACUACCUCAAAGUUAACAUCAUAGGUGAAAAUGAUCUCUUUGUUUGCCUCUAUUUCUUGAGGCCUAUCAGAGCUCAUUACUAGAAUCCUUGUGUGUGGAUUACAGGUUUUAAGGUGUGUCAUAUUCCCCUUCCAAUCACCAUCGGGUUUAUGCUUAACACUGCAGCAUAUAUAUAAUAAAUGUACAAAGCAAGCAUCAAAUAAAUGUAAAAUUACAUCAUGCAUCAUCACUCGGGAACUUCACAAAGAAACUCAACACUCUGUCUGCGGGAUGAAUAUCGAACCUGUACGGUUUAACUUCGAAGCCCACAAUCCUAGCGAGACCUGUGUGUUCAUCCUUGUUAUACUUCACCAGAAAUGAUAAGUGGUUGUGAAUGAAAUAACUCCAAUCCUUUCUCUGCAUCAAACACAUUCAAAUCAUAAGACAAUUGCCAUUGGAUGAACAAAUCAGUAUUCCUGUCUAGCGAGAAGAUCAUCAACCCACCCCUACAAACCACCCCUUGACACCAACAUGCAUGCCUUGUAGAUAUAAUGUUGGUGCCUCUUUAUCCAAUCUCUUAACUGGGAUGACCAUAGGGAGGUUAUCAAGAAUCCUGCGAGCAACAAAAGCAAAGGCUCAUUCUCUAAUCAAAUUUUCUGAAUAUCUAUGCAGUCUGCAGCCAGCAUCUCACAUGUUUACACUGUAGGAGUCGUCGAUUUUCUCCUUGAAAUCCUUUGCUCCUUCUUGGCUCAGAACAAUCUUGCACGCAAUCUGACACAGCUUAGGCUCCAUCAUCUCGAACUGCAUCGGAAGCACAACCGAAACAUCAGGGAGCUAAUUACAGGCAAAAGCAGCUCACAGUAGGUGGAUCCGUGUAUGGUGUGGAACACUAAAAUUCCAGUACUACUGUAUCCUGCAGAAUUACCACGUAGGGCGAGUUCUCGAUUCGGUCGCCACGGAGCACCUCGCCGAGAUUCUCGGCGCUGCUGACGAUGGUGUCCGGCCUGCAGAAGGGGAGGGAGUAGUACGAGUAGGGCACCUGCGUCUUGAUGGAGCUCAGCUGGCUCACCUUCACGGCGAGCAGGUCAUUCUGCAACCAGCCAUCAGGAACCACACACAGACCCAGCGCGUGAGGAGUAAUGACUCGUCAUUAUCAGGAUAGUUUCCUGAGCAAGAGCAAUCAAGCCGAUCAUGAAAUGAGUGAGAGAGGGAGAAAGACAAGACCUUGCGGAAGUCGGCGGGGGCGACGCCGGGGAGGUAGAACCCGCGGGCCGCGCCGGCGCAUGCGAGGACGAGGAAGAGGAGCGCCGGGUGGGCCAUCUCCGUUUGUGGGAGGUGAGGUCAGGAGUGUGCCAGGGGCAGAAGAGAUUAUGGGGAAGGGGAAGAAGCGGGCGAAGAGUGGAGUCGUCGGCGACGACCGGCCCGGAGGAUUACGAAGCGUCAGGUUCGGCGGCGGUGGGCCAGCACGGGAGAGAGAGAGUUUUGACUUGUGUCGCUUGCUUGGCAUCGGCAGACGCAGCUCGUGAUGACGCAAACGCAAGACUCGAACCUUUUGACUUUGACUUUGACUUCGGAGUGUCACUAAAAGGUCACUUGCUCGGUUAUCCUCUGAAUCAGAUGCUACUGCAAGUCUGCAAGGUUACUAGGGGGCUGUUUGGAUACGAGGUGCUAAACUUUAACAGUGUCACAUCGGAUGUUUGGAUGCUAAUUAGGAGGACUAAACAUGAGCUAAUUAUAAAACUAAUUGCAGAACCUUGUGCUAAUUCGCGAGACGAAUCUAUUAAGCCUAAUUAAUCCAUCAUUAGCAAAUGGUUACUGUAGCACCACAUUGUCAAAUCAUGGACUAAUUAGGCUUAAUAGAUUCGUCUCGCGAAUUAUACUCCAUCUGUGCAAUUAGUUUUGUAAUUAGCUUAUGUUUAGUACUCCUAAUUAGCAUCACAAACAUCCGAUGUGACAGGUGUUAAACUUUAACAGGUGUUUCCCAAACACCCCCUAGAUGCUCUCAGUUUUUCCUCCUCACCCACGAGGAGGCGAAUUUAACAAUCGAUUUUCUCAGAGAAAAAAAAACAGCUAAGAUCGAUUUAUACUGCUACGAUGAGAUUAGUACUGAACUGAAUGCAACCUGUCAUCGCCAUGUCAGUCUGAUGUCGUUGCUGGACUGAAACCACCGCUAGAACAGUUUUCCAAUGGGUCCUCCCUUCUAGCGGACACGGCCCAGUUAGGCCCAAUAGCUCGACCGCUCGACGCGUCGACCGCCGCAUCGGCCCAUCCCGGCACGAGUCGCGCGCCGCCGCAUCCGCUUGUCGCGCCGUCGUCGACCUACCUGCUCGGCCGCGCCGCUCGCUGCCCAGGUCCGCUCGCCACGACCUCGGCCGCCACGCACUCGCCGUCGCCGCGGCCUUGCUCCUGCGCCUCCUCACGGGCCAGCCGCUCUCGGCCCGCUACCAGGCGCGCGCUUGGGGGGAUCCGGCCCCUAAACCCUAGAGCUCGCCGGCUCGGCUCGCUCCCCCCGCGCUGGCAGCGGCAAUGGAGGACGAGGAGAUGGAGAAGAAGGUGCAGCAGUACCUGCAGCGCAAGGGGUUCCGCCUCACCGAGCUCGCGCUGCAGGAGGAGCGCAACCGCCUCUCCACCUCAGUCAUCUCCGACGUUGCGCUUGAGAGGUAGGUUCGCCUGCUUCCCAAGCUAGCUAGGUGGGGUCCUAGGACGUCUCCGCCAGUGGCGGUAGCUUCCGUUACGAUGAAAUUGAAAGCUACUGGACUUGUGUAAUUUGUUCGAAUGAAUUCGAGUUGGUGCUUUUUUUUUCUGGGCGCUCGGAGUGUAUAACCUCGGUGCCCUCGCUCGGCUGUUGAUUUGGCUAGUUUGCUUGCCUGGAUGUGAACUGUUGCCUAGUGCUCUCGUCUGAAUUGGAAAUUAGCUUAGAGAGUCUAGUUGGAGGAAUUGGCACUAACGUUAUGGGAGUUAAGGGGUGUAAAAUUGCGGUAACUCAGUUUUCCAUGAAGGUCCAAUGUUUUCAAGUGCCUGCCACCUGCAGAUGGCAUUCCAUAGAUUUUGCUAUGCACUUAGAUAUAUGCUAUGUCUAGCAAAAGUUAUGAAUCUAGAAAAGUGAAAAUGACCUAUCAUUUGGGACGGAGGGAGUAGAUCUUUGGACAGGAAGGGAAGGGAAUCAAGGGAUAUGUAAGUAACAGAAAAUUCAAUGUUCAAAUCUCUGCCGGAAUUUUUUGUAACAUCCAGUUGAUAAAGGCUGCUGUCUGUAGCUAUGUGGAAAACUGCAUUUUCUGGACUGCUUGCAUGUGAUAAUUUGCAAAGCAGUCUGUUUAUUGGUUCAAUGGUGCUUGAUCGAUAUUACAAUAAUCAGUUGUUUUGUCACUAUCUGCCCACAAAUAUUUUUCUAGUCCAUUAGCAUACACAGAUUCUGAAGGGCUUCUAUUUUCUCUUAUGAUCUUACCAUUACCAUUUUUCGGUUGCUUAUGUUCUUCAAUUACAGGUCUGACAAUGAUCCGGCAAGAUACCAUGAUGGAUAUAGUAAACUAAGAACAUGGGCAUAUAGUUCUCUUGAUCAAUACAAGGUGCGUUGCUUGUAGAUAAUUUGUACUUCACAUGCACAUCUCCAAUAAAUGUGAUUGCUUUUGAUACCUUGUGUCCAAAUUGUUCAUUUGUUUCUGUUAGCUCCAAGUAGCACUUUUAUUUGAAUCCUCUUUGUGUUCUCAGUCACGAAUUUACACUUUUGGCCUCCUUUUAUGAACCACAAAUCUGUUCAUCUGAGCGUGGUUUUGCACUUGACUACUUAUGCAAUUCUAGUUUGUCGAAAGGGUAUUUGCUUGUGGUGCACAAACCACUUAUGAUCAUAUUUUCCUUUCUUUUUCUUAUGGUGCACCUUCCUGUUAUUAAAUCUGGCAGUACAAUUCAUGUUUCUUAAUUCUGGCAAUACAAUAAAUGUUUCUUAAUUCUGAUCUUUUUGUGUAGCACGAAUUACUUCGUGUCCUUUACCCAGUUUUUAUCCAUUGCUUCAUGGAUCUAGUGGCAGAGGGACAUAUGCAAGAAGGUAUUUCUCGUUGUUGGGCAUAAUUGUAUAGACUUCUGCUGUUUUUUGUUUUUAGCCUUAGUUUAUUGAGGCAUUUCUUUCUUUUCCUAUCCUGUAGCUCGGUCAUUUUUCCAUACAUUUCGAGAAGAUCAUGAAGUGAUGCAUUCAAGGGAUCUUCAGAAGCUGGAAGGUGUCCUCUCUCCUUCACAUUUGGAGGUUAUUUAACUAUUCCCCACAUUGUGCCAAUACCAUUUGAAAUGAACACUUGUUUUAUAUGAUUGAUUUUACCUUCUUAAGAUUCCAGAACUGUGCAUUUACCUUCUGCAUGUCAUAAUUUUCAGGAAAUGGAACUGGCCCGAUCUUUAAGGCAAAAUAAAUUUAAAAUUAAAAUGUGCGAGGUAACUACUCUACGAAUUCCUUCUCAUCUCUAGCCUAUUGUUUUGAAUUAUGCUUUUUAAUUCAUCCAUGCUCUUUUACUAGAAUUGAUCCCUUUUAUGGAGAUAAAAUACUGCACAUCAUAGUAAAAAUGACGUACUUUAUUGUGUUGCCGCACGCCAUUAUUCUACCUUUUCCCCCUGCAUUCCUUGAUAGCUAUAGUAAUAUGAUUUAUUGGAAGCUUCAUAUGUUCCUAUUUAAAAAGCAGCUGCUCCAACUAAAAGUUUGACCAUAUUUUCCUAUUGCAGUAUUCAUAUCAAUUGCUUCUCCAGUAUCUCCAGAAAACACAAGCUUUUGUGGUGCUGGGAGUAAUCAAUCAGCACAUAACUUUUGAAGGUAUGGUUCCAUGAUCUGCUGAAUUGAGUACUUCUGGUAUGCAUUGUACUUGUGCAUUUUCACUUCUUACAGUCUUCUCUACCACUUCUAUUUGUACAAUUGGCAGUAUCUCCUGGGCAGCCCUCAUUAAUCUCUGAUGAUGCGGAUGUUGUUGCUCUGAUUGGGACAAGUAAGGACUUGGCAAAACAGAUAAAUCAGAAGGAAGUACAUUGGGGGGUAUGUUACGCAUCAGUUGGAUUGUUUUCCACUUAAGUUAUAUCGAAUAGUCAAUAUUGCAGAUUAAACAGUUUGUAUUUGAGUUGUCUCCAGUGAAGUUAAUAUAUUCUGCUCUAUAUGCUCUCAUGCACUUCUUGUUUCCCAGUUGCUUGAAGAUUCCGUUGAAGAGCGAAUGGAGAAGGCGCUAGCAGAAUCUGAUAAAAUUGAAGCUGAAAGCAAGGAUGCUGAAGCAGAAGAUAAUAAGGCAAGGGAUCAGAAUCUUCUUACAUUAUGUGUUCUAUAUACUGUUGGGCUGUUGAAAUAUCAACCUUAUAUUGAGAAUGUGCCUCCCACUUCACUAUCUGUAGGUUGUAGCUGAUAACAAAUGCUCAUUGCUUGGUUCCAGUUGCACUGGGCAUACCAGUGUUCCUGGUCAUAAGAAUUUUGGUGUCUUAGCAGUGUAUUCCUGUGUAUACAUGUAUUCAUGGUCAUAAGAUUUUUGUCAUUAUAUUUUGCCACAGAAAAGAAACGCAGAAGGUGGAAAGCAAGGUGCUUCUAAUAAGAAGACCAAAAAGGAUAAGCUUGUAGGUGCAACUGGAAAAAAUGUCAGAACUGAAACAAGCAUGGUUUCUGUGGCACCUCGAGUGAAGCCGGAGCUAACUCUUCCAACGACGUAUGUUUCUAAUUCCUUUGUGGCUAUAACUAUGGAAAACUGUCCUCCAAUUUUUCAUGUAUGGUCUUUAUUUUGUCUAAUAUUUCAAAAUCCUAAAUAACACCUCAACCUUAGGCCUUCGUUUAAGAAUGCUAUUCGUGUAACUGAAAAGUUAGGUCAAGGUCUGACAUGUGAAUGACAUCUACUUGCUAGAACUUUUGAUUCUGUGACCACGACACUUUUAUUUUCAGGGACAAGCCAGUAGGGGGGGCUGGCAGGGGCCAUGGCCCCCCUCAUGGCCCAAUUUUUUUCCUACUAAAUCUCUAGUAUAUCUUAUAGUAUUUAGCUCAUCUUAUGAAGAAAAACAUAUGAAUUAGUGUAGUUGCCCCCCCCCCCCCCCCCCCCCCCCAAUCUUGUGAUCCUGGGCUUUGUCACUGCUUAUUUUGGAAUACAAACUGAAAUUGAAGAGGGUUUUUUAGGACACAAAAAACAUUAGGCCCUGAUAGAUUCAAAAUAAUCUUAACUCUUUUGUGCACUAUUCUUAUUGCUUGAUAGUUUGGAGGUUGUUGCUGGUUUACUUUGUGUUCAUACCUUUAUCUGUCAAAGUAAUCAACCUUGAGAUAUGCGCGUAUGGAAAAUCUUUAUGUAUUUGUUUCAGGCCUAUUGAAGUUGAACAAUCAAUUCUUGAGGACCUGAGGAACCGUGCACAAUUGAAUAGUAUGGCAUUGCCCUCUGUUAGCUUCUACACAUUCCUUAAUACACAUAAUGGGUAAAUAUAACUGUUAUUUGAUAUUUAGAACUUCUCUGUUAAUACUUUGGGUUGAGUAUCAUCCUGUGGAACACAGAUUGAACUGCUCAUCGAUAUCACACGAUGGAUCUUUGGUUGUGGGUGGAUUUUCUGAUUCGUCAGUAAAGGUCAGUCCGUUCAGGUCAAAUGUUCUUUUUCAUGCUAUUUAUAUUCGUAGCUGGUAAAAUUUCCUUGCCUUUCACCAGGUCUGGGAUAUGUCAAAGAUUGGUCAAUCAGGAAAAACAUGUAAGUUCGACACCUUUUGUUCCUGACCAAUUCUUUCACUCUCUCUUCGUACUCUCAGUGUUGCUAUGCUAAAAUACAUGCAUAAUUUUGCAUCUAAUUUAGGCCAAGGUCAUGUUGAUGUUUUGUUUUGAAUAUUUUAAUCAGUUUAAGUUACAAACACUAAGCACUACAACUACUGCUUUAUACAGUUUUUCAAUAUUCUUCUGCGAAAGUCUGACUUCAGAAUAAUUCUGCCAUUCAAAUAUUUCCAGUUAUAUUCUGAUGGAGUUUGCUAAUUUGGCAAACUUUAAUUUUCAGCUAGUUCACAGGGGGAGACUGGAUCUCAGGGUGUUCGCGUAUCAACAGUAGAUGAGGGAAAAAGACCCUAUACACUAUUCCAAGGUCAUUCUGGACCAGUUUAUUCCGCGGCCUUUAGCCCAUUUGGGGAUUUUCUCCUAUCAUCAUCUUCAGACUCGACAAGUAAGAUACCUAGACAUAGUGCUUGUACGUUUUGUAGGAAAUCCUUUCCCUAAUUAUCUUCUAAAUUUAGCACUAUAUCCUUACUCUUUAUUUGUUACAGUUAGACUGUGGAGCACCAAGCUGAACGCCAAUCUUGUCUGUUACAAAGGACACAACUACCCUGUUUGGGAUGUCCAAGUAUGUGAAUAACUAUUUAAGAUGUUGAUCUUGCAUUUGUAAACAUUUUAAUAAUAUAAUUAUGCACCGUACUAUUUGUUGAUACCUUCUUUUGUUUACUUUUAUGACAGUUUAGUCCAGUUGGCCAUUACUUUGCUAGUGCUUCGCAUGACAGGACUGCUAGAAUCUGGUCGAUGGAUAAAAUUCAACCUUUGCGAAUAAUGGCUGGGCAUCUUUCCGAUGUUGAUGUAAGUGAACUUCUGGUCCUAUAACUUCGUAUCAUUCGAAAAGUUAUGGUUUGGUUAGAUGGAAUUGUUGGUGUUUUUAAUCCUUUUGUGUUUAGUACCCACUUGUUUUUUCCAAUGUCCUGUAUUGAUGCCAGCAUGAUUUGACGGAUCUUUUUUUUUUUCUUUUGCCUGCAAAUUGUUUGCUUAACAGUGUGUCCAGUGGCAUGUAAACUGUAACUACAUUGCCACCGGCUCUAGCGACAAAACCGUAAGACUAUGGGAUGUACAGACAGGUGAAUGUAUACGGAUGUUUAUUGGUCAUAGGAGUAUGGUUUUAUCACUGGCAAUGUCACCCGAUGGACGAUACAUGGCCUCUGGAGACGAAGAUGGAACCAUCAUGAUGUGGGAUCUCUCAACUGGUCGCUGUGUUUCACCAUUGCUAGGACACGGUUCUUGUGUGUGGACACUUGCUUUCAGGUAAUCAUUAGUGUAACUUUUCUAGGUUAUAGCAGCACCCCAAGUCUAUUUUGAUCUGAUAAUUGUAAAAAAAAAGGUUAUAGAAACUUGCGCAAAGAGUAAGGGUUCAUUGUAGUUAAAAGCAUCACUUGGUAAGCUGGCCAGUCCUGCGGCAAGCAUAGCUGGUUCAUGAAACAGUUUUAACUCAAGUUAUAAUUAUCAGUAGUGCUAUAGCAAGAAAUUAGUUUGCUAAUCACUUACUUAGCCCUUGUGUAAUUUAAAGGUCAUGCAAUUCAUGUCUUCAAAUUACUGGUGUUGGUCUCACAGAUUUUGAUGUUGUUUAGACUCAGAAUACAUGAGUCAUGGCAUCAGCUAAAUGGCGCUGCUCUGUUUGCUUCUUGCCUUAGACUUUUAGCUGAUCAAAUAUGAUACUUGUCCUAUGAGCUCUUUAGUCUUUAAACAACAUAUUUCCUCCCUGAUUGCAGUCCUAUUUGAAUGUCAUUGGCUAAACAUAGGGUCCAGACUUCAAAAUGUAGUAUUAUUUUGGUUUUAGCUCUCGUUGCCUUUUGGAUGUACACUAGAGAUUUCUUGCUCUAGCAGCAACAUACCUUUUGUGGAGAACCUUAGCAAAUGGCAAUGCAGUCAUUGAUUUAUCCCAAUGCAUUCCAAUGGGAUAUGUAAUGUGUUAAGAUUAAACACUGCUGUAGGUUAUCCCUUUUAUUUUUGAAUCGCUUUCCACUUUAUUUAAGUUGCAACACAAGGUCUAAAUUGUACAUUGUUUCUUUCAUUGAUAGUUCAUGAUGUUCUGAGAUAUGCCAUGUAGGACUGCCGUUGGUUGAUUUUCUAAGCGUUAAUUAUACGAUGCAGUAAAGUAUGCGCAUAGUUAAUAUAUCAUGUUAUUGUCUUAGCUGUGAGGGGGCAAUGCUUGCAUCUGGAUCAGCUGACUGUACUGUAAAACUCUGGGAUGUCGCUUCCAGCACAAAGGCCCUGAAGACGGAGGACACGUAAGUUGAUUUACAUAUAAACAUGAUCAUCAAUUCAGCAUAUACUCCAUUCUCUUACUUGGACGUCAAAACAACCUUGUCUUUUCUGAAACAGCAAAGGUGGUUCAGCUAACCGACUGAGGCUUCUUAAAGCUCUCCCUACGAAAUCUACUCCUGUUUAUAGCCUGCGGGUGAGAAGUUUUCCACUCGUUUCAGCACUGUUAAAUUCAACUUAUGUUUUCUAUGAUGCAGUGUAACUGAAGAAUGAACUGAUUUCUGGUUAUUGCAGUUCUCUCGAAGGAAUCUUCUGUUUGCAUCCGGUGCGCUCUCGCUUAGCUAGUCGUAAGCUAUAUAUUUUCUAGAAGACAACUGGAAUUGUUUCGUUGUGGCAUCAAGUAGUAAGCUGACAUUUUGUGUACUUGACUGUGGAUCUUAUUAUAGAGUUAACAUUUUUAUAAGGGAUCUGUGACCAGAAAGCACUGCAGAUACUUCAUAGCGCGAGUGUAAUAUUGUAACAUUAUUAGGUAAUUACAUUACAUCGUGUAAAAUUAUUAUUUUGUAGGUAGUGAGUCAAACCUGAUGAAAACGUAUCAGGGGUGUAUGGAUACACCCCACUAAAGUUUAGCACAUGUCAUAUCGGAUGUUUGGAUGCUAAUUAGAAGUAUUAAAUAUAAGCUAAUUAUAAAACUAAUUGCACAUAUGGAGUCUAAUUCGCGAGACGAAUCUAUUAAACCUAAUUAGUCCAUGAUUUGACAAUGUGGUGCUACCGUAACCAUUUGCUAAUGAUGGAUUAAUUAGUCUUAAUAGAUUCGUCUCGUGAAUUAGCACAGGUUCUGCAAUUAGUUUUAUAAUUAGCUCAUGUUUAGUCCUCCUAAUUAGCAUCCGAACAUCCGAUGUAACACUGCUAAAGUUUAGCACCUAGUAUUCAAACACCCCCUAAAUCUGGUGGCCCAAAUAGUGUUUCUGUGGGAAGCACUGUAUUCGUAGCAUCCUGCAUCCUAAGAUGGGAGACUUCAUGGUUGACACUUUCUUUUCCAGGUAAAAUUUAUGCGUCUCGCACUAGGGCCUAAGCCUAGGGCAUGAAAGUGAAGCGUCAGAUUUGCAAUGAACAUGUUGGUUUUGUGGCAUCAUGCCUGAUUAACGACAGAAUCCAACCUGAUGUGAUAUUUUCGUCACUGUUUGAGGUGUACCAUUCAUCUACAACCAGUCUUUUUCAACGACACGUAGGACCGAGCCCCACAUGUCAUGGUAUACAGUAGACUAGAUAAUCAUUCGAUCGAUUGGUUGGUGGUGAAGAUCGUUUCCCUGUCCUGCGCCGGUGGUCCAGGCGAUUCUGGCUAGGCUUGUUGACGUCAGAAACGCUGUUCACAUGGCCAAUUGGUGGGGCGUCGUCCUCAUGUUUCCAUCUGUUCCGGAGUCCGGACACCGUCUGGGUAGGCCCUACCAUUUCCUCAACCCUGUCUUACAAAUGGAAACUCCAGUAUUGUUAAAAAGGAGCUGUCAUCUUUUCCAACAUCAGAUCAAUUGAAGGAGAAGGCUCAAGGCAUCGAACAUUCAACAAGUUAGGAACCACUUUGGAUGACCUCAUUGUGGUGAUCUUUCUCUUAAUUUGUAUUCCCAUCUUCCUUUAAGAUGAGAUAUGCUCCCAUCUUUCCAUGAGCAAGAAACAUCACGCGACGUCAGUGUAGAUGCUACAUCGUCGUCGUCGCGACAUCUAUUCGUUCAUUUUUUAGGUCCAUUUCAGGACCACAUCAUCUUUCUCGUGUCUAUGUUUAUAUUCAUUAGCAGACUCGUGACGAUAACCUUAUACUGAGGAAGGAAUUAGGCGCGCCGUCUUCUGCUGUUCAGGAAAAGGGACACACAGAGCCAUUGCAUUGGCAAUCUGUGGACAGGCCGACAGGGAUAGGUCAACAGACCAUACUUGACUAGGGCACAUUAUCUACCUCCAGGGCCCAUGAGUUCAAUGGCGAAACAUGACAUGAUUGCAGAGUAGGAGCAUCUGCGCAUGCAUCCAUGAAGUGGCUUCAGAUGAAUUGGACAAAAGGUGUGCUGUCCUGGUUGCACCAUGUGUAGAAGCGAAUCACUGGGAGAGUUUUGAGGAGACAAGAUUGUUAAGCUAACUUAACUAACUGGUAUGACCAGGAGAGCAAACUAAUUGCGAUUAGACGGGUCGGUCACUGCAUCUCAGUUGCACGUCACAGCCAUGAGCAUUGUGAAUUAUUGCUCCAAUAAAAUGAUUGGAGUGUCACUGCGGACCAGCAUUAGGCACUCAGCAUUAGGCCUCGUGUUUACUGGCCAAACCAUAAAAACACUGCUCCGGAGCAGUCGUUUCAAUUCCUUGAGCAUGUAGCGUUAAGGGGAUGUUUGGAUCAUGGACUAAUUUUUAGUUUGGGUCACAUCGGAUGUUUGUAAACGUGAACUAAUUAUAAAACUAAUUGCAUAAGUCGUGACUAAUUCGCGAGACGAAUCUAUUAAGCCUAAUUAAUCUAUAAUUAUCAUAUAUUUACUGUAGCAUCACAUGGUCAAAUCAUAGACUAAUUAGACUUAAUAGAUUCAUCUUACGAAUUAACCUUCAUUUAUGCAAUUGGUUUUUUAAUUAACCUAUAUUUGAUAUUAGAGUAUCUAAACAUUCGACGUGACAGUUACUGAACUUUAAUCUCCGAACCUAAAUCGAGUCCAGUAAUUUCUCUCAGUCCUAGGGUUGCUGCUCAUGGACAAGACAUGGUGGUCGAGUACAAGGUCACUUGGUGAGCUUGUCUUUUCGACGCACCUAGUUCCUGUUGCUCGUGCAGUUGCAGAAGCAAGCAAAUGCCACUGUGAACUGUUCAGAACGAGGCAAAGCCCCUGCCUGCCACUUCCGUUUCCUGCGGCUGCUCGCUUUGCCAGUGCGCGCUGCACCUGCAUCCGCGCCAUGCAUGUCGCCUUUUGCGUUUGACCUUCAUAAACAAAUCAAGUAAUAGGAGUAUAUAUUGUUGAAAGCUGAAACCAAGUUUUAAAUCUCCCUCUAUAACUGCUGCUAUGGUCCGCUACAACUGCUGCGACAAAAAAUUUUGUAAUCCAUGACGAAUUUUUCAUUUUUCAUGACAUUUUCAGAUAACGUUAGUGAUGGCACUCCAUCUAUAAUGAUCAGCCAGUUUUCAUCAUAGAUUCGCAAUUGUGAAUAUGAAGUCCAAAAUACAGGGACGUUUUAUCAAUUUCAUCACAAUUCGACCCACAACACUAUGAUAUUUCAGCAAAUUAGUCACAGACAAUAAAUUAGAAAUCUUCAUGUUUAGUAGGGGAAAAAUAGAAAAAUCAGAAAAAAAAAAUAUGGAAAAAAAAUCGGGGAAAAAAGAAAAAAAGUUGCGGAGACCAAGAAUCAAACCUAGAACCUCCCUAAUACAAAGCAUCGCAUUUACCCAUUAAACUACUUGUAGCACUCCUUACAACCGAGCUAUGCCCCCAUUUGUGAUUUUAUUCAGUAUUUAGUUUAUUUAUAAACAUAUGCGCUCAUGCGUUGCUGCACGACCUAUAACCAUAGUAAAGCACUUCUUACCACCGAGCUACGCCUCCGUUUGUAAUUUUAUUCAGUGUUUAAUUUAUUUAUACACAUAUGCGCUCGUGCGUUGCUGCAUAACCAAUUCAGAAAAAAGUGUGGAGCACACGGAGUUCGAACCAGGGUUGCAGGUUUUGCUAACGCAACAAACUUUACCACUGCAACAGUGCAGUGAUAAUAAUUGGUAAGAAAACCUUUUGUAUGUGUUGGUUCGUACGGUGGCCCAAUAAUGAAGAACAGAGGUAUUGUUUAUCUUUCCCUUUUUAAUUUGGAAUUAAAACUUCUAAUUGGUAUUUCUUCCUCAUAAGAACUCCAAAUUUGAUAAUUCUUUUUCCUGAAUUUUUCUAAAAUCACGAAAUUUCAUUUAAUGGCACUUGUUUGUAUUCUAAUUGCCAUUUCUUGGAUCAUUUUCAUAUGUCUUAUUUUCUUCCACCUAAAUAGAGAAUAAAAAAACAUGUUUUUUCAUAACAAUUGCAAAUGUAACUUAAUAUUUUCUAAUAUUAUGUUCAAAAAAUGGUUGUGCCAAAAUUUGAGAUGCAUACGAGAUUAAAAAUAUUACGAGGUAUUCAAAUCUCAAAGUUUGACUUGAGUUAUAAGAAACUAUGUGAGAGAUGUAUCCAUUUGUGAACAAUGUAUAGUCUUACUUUAUUAAAGUCAUUCAAAUUUUUUAUAGCAAGCUUAUGGACAAAAAUAUGCUAUCACAUAAAUUUGUAGAAUUUUUUGACCAAAUUUAGAUAUUAUUAUAAUUAUUAUGUGGUAAUUUGGAGAUAGAAGUUUGAAUUGUCUCUAUAAGAUAAUUUAAUUGUUCAUCUAUCUUUAGGACAUGAGCUAUAAUGGAACAUAGGAGCAUAAACAAAGUUUUUGUGCAAUUUUUCAAAUCUUAUUGGUGUUAUACACAGUUCAACUUGGAAUUAUCGAAAACGUAGAAAAGCAUUUUAAUGAUAGAAAAUACUAAAUCUAUUAAAAAAUUCUUGAAACUCCUACAUGACAACUUAAAUGUUGUCUACUAUAUUUAAAAUAUAUUAGUGUAUGUAAGAUAAUUUAUUUGCAAGUUACUUUAGAAGGAUGCUGUAAAAUGGAAAAAGAAAACGAAAAACAUUAAACAGUGAAGUAUGUUGACACAAGUUUGACUUCGGCCCGUUUAACUAAUUCGGCCCAGAAAUACACAUCUCCUAUUGCCAUUAGACCAAAGUUGUAUGGCUGAGAUAACUCAGCCCAGAAAUACACAUCUCCUAUUGUCAUUAGACCAAAGUUGUAUGGCUGAGAUGAUCCGGUCUUUGAAUAAAUACGCCAUAUGUCAUCCAUACAUUUAUGACCCCACCAGAUGGUUUGGACAGUUCUAAAUAUGAGGUUGUACACCGAGACGUAUCAGACAUGGAAACUACGGUGCAGGACAACGUGGUCUACGUGGAGGACAAGAACUAGUCUAGGAAUAGGAAACUACUCAUAGCAAUCGGAGUAGGACUCUUUAGUCGAAUCCAACUAGUAUUCUUGUAAACAACCGACCUGUAACCCUACCCCCGGCAGUAUAAGGCGAGGCAGGGAUCCCCUCCAAAUAAGUUCAAUCAAUAUAAUACAACCAACAAAACAAGACGUUGGGUAUUACGCGACAUAAGCGACCCGAACCUAUCUAAAUCGUGUGUUUGAGUUCACCUUCGAGUUCCUGAUCUCGGCGAGCCCCACGCAUAGAACACCACCUCGGGUACCCCUCGGUAGGUUGCCGGGUCUAAACAACGACAGCUGGCGCGCCAGGUAGGAGCUCUCGCUGAGAAUCCACUGGCGAACUCAAUGGCUCAAGUCAUCAUCAAGCCCACCGUCACAUUCGAAGCGGGCGCGACAUUCGUCUUUGCUUCCUGGAUUUGCGCAACAGACGGCGUUGGAAACUUCCACCACCACAUUGCACCGACUCCGAACGAGAAGCAGUACGCUAGUACCACAUCAACCUUCAUUGCGAAGCUCUCGAGGAUUUCAUCGAGAAAUUCAACAAAAUUUUUGACCUAUUUCGAGACUCAUGGGACGAGUCCGAGUACAACUCGACUUCUCCUACUAGUCGGAUUGGUUCCCACGAGCUGGCGCUUAAGCCAUCGUGCGGAUCGGUCUACAAUACAAGUCGAUUCCCGUUCAGACUCCGAAAUUCGGGGGUUGUCUAUCAAGACACCUUGUCUAUAUCACAAUUCAACUCGGAUUUGAUCAAGGACCUCGACUACUACUCGGAUCCGAAUGAGGAGACUCCAUUAUCAGGUCCACAACAGGGUCUGGUAAUCACAUCCACUCCACAAGGCAGAUUCGUCUACUGGCCCAACACUCGGUUUGACACACCUCAUCCCAGCAUGGCAGCAGCCAUAGACCAAGUCAAAACGAGGGUGCUAGAAACAAGCGUCCUAGAAUUGAGGGUGCUAGACCAAGCCAAAACAGGGUAGAGGGUAGUCGGGUGGAACCCUCGGGAGGCUGUGGCCACCGUGGGCCCUACCUAGAGCUUGAACCUCCAGUACGCGACCUCCGUUAGAAGAUCAACAAUAGCCACGAUGCCCAUACAAUCAUUGAAGGGUGCCACCGUGAGCGCGCACAAGAAGUCAAGUACCUCGGAGAAGAUUCUGACAGGUUCCCUACCUUCUCAAAACAAGUACAAAAGACAGUUCUACCCAACGAGUUUAAACCUCCGGAUAUUACCAAGUAUGACAGCAAGCAAGACUCAGUCCAAUGGCUACGGUGCUACGCAUUGUCAGUCCAGGCAGCGGGAGGAAAUGAUGACACCAAGGUCAUCUAUUUCCCCAUCUGCAUGGAGGUAGGGCCACUCACAUGGCUCAAGUCUCUAGAGAAGAUCUCCAUCAACAUAUGGAAGCACCUCAAGGUGGCAUUCACAAAUAACUUUGUAGGGGUAAUGCAGUGUCCUGGCAACAUGAUCAACUUAUCUUAAGUCAAGCAGCAACAAGGUGAGACCCUGCGUAGUUAUCUACGUUGUUUCUUCAACAAGAAAGCCACUAUCGUGGACAUUACGAAGUGGGACACCAUAGACUGCUUCCAGAAUGGUCUCUAUGACCGCUGGAUGUUCCAAGAUUUUGGCAGGAGACGUCCGGAAGAUAUCAAACCUCUCAAGAUCAUGAUACAAGACUGGGCGGAUGAAGAAGACAAGGAGAUUGAGAGGUUCGAGUCUAGCCGUAACAGAGGCCAGAAGAACAACAAUCAGAGUAAUGGCCAACGCAACGACAAGAACUGUAAUGAUCGACCCAACAAUGACAACCGAGGCAACUACUCAGGUGGUCAAAAUCGUAAGAGAAAGCUAGACAAUACUAUCGCGGCGAUGCUCCAGUUUUCCAAGAAAGGUGGCAGGAAUCAAGAAAGAACUCCAUUCAAAAAGUUCCUGAAAAAGCAGUGCCCGUGGCACCCACACUCUAAGCACUCCGCAAUGGACUGCUAUAGCCUGCACAUAGUCAUGAAAGAUCUGUCGGAACCUUCUGGAGCAAAGGACAAGGGCAAGGCUAAAAAAGACAAAGAUCAUGGCAACAAUGGCAAAUUCCAGAACCCGUCCAACACCGUUAACGUCAUCUUCGGCGGCACACCGGGUACUUGUAACAACUCUACCUAAAUUAAGUACUUUUAACUAUAAACCAGUGAUAAAUCAAAUCCCUAAGUUAAGAAGUGAAAUGACCUUUAUAAACCUAAGAAGCUCUUUUUUUGGAGUUUGAAUUAAAGCUUCAAAUUUUAUAUACAAACUUAAGUUUCUGCCCAAAUAAGAGUUGUAAAACUUUUUAAUUCCAACAACUUUUGUUAAAGGCACUUUGACUAAUUCAGAGUGGAAGGAAGUCAAAAACAGCAACCAAAGCCGGUUUUUCUAAAGGACCCUGAAAAUCUCUUAAGUCCUGGAAUUCGAGUUUUCCUUCAUCUUGCAAGAUUUCAUCUCCCGUUUCCCUAUCUAAACUCGAGUCAGAGCCUUAAUGAAAGUUGUAGUACCUCGAGUGUGUUCCAACUUUGUCACACUGACCCGGAUCCAAAUCGGACCCGAACUUGUUCAAAAUCCCGGUCAAAGUGAGGUAAACCAGUCAAUUCACCCCGGAUGCCUUAAAUCCUAAGUCUGGAAUUCCAGAUUUUUGGCUAACUUUGGCGUAAAAUAUCUUCGAAUCCUCUCACAAUCAAAACCGACACCUUAAACAAAGUUUGAAGAACGAUCAGUGUUAAACAAGUUUGUUUAAGGGAGUUUCGGAAGUUGUGUUGAAAGAUUCGGAGGAGGAUCGCUCCAAAGCUGGCCGGGCUUACUGCCCGAAAGGGGGCCUCGACGCCCGCGCGCCAGAGCACGUUCGCUCGCGCGCCGCGCGCCGCGUGGCCGUCGGCCACCGGCAGCUCGCCGGCGCCCUAUCACCAGCGCGAUAGCGACAGGACGAGAGCCACGGCGCCCAACCCGCGCCUGCGACAGAACGGAGCGAACGCCGGGCUAGCCAACCGCCGGCCGCGCGCGUGCCGCCUUCCGCCUGCCACGGCUCUACUCCGCCAAACCCGUUCCGCCCAUCCGCCGGGAAAGCUGCCACACCCCCGACGUCCCGCGCCUCCGCCCGCUCGCCCAACCCCCACGGUAGCCCUUCCGCCUCGCCCGCCUGACAGACCGGAAGCCCCAGACGCGCGCCGCCGAAGGCCAAUCGCCGCCGAAGACCACCCGGAGCUCCGCCUCCUCUGCCCAAUGGCGUCGUCGGCCAAUGGCCGCCUUGCCCGCGCACUCGCCGCUCCCGGCCUUAUCCUUUCCCCACCGGAGCUCCGCCUCGACCCUCCGUCCCACCACGGCCCUAUAAAAGGGAACCCCCUCACCGGCAACGCCACCCCUUUGCCACCGCCGCACCUGCGCCACCACUUUCUCCUCUCAGUCGCCGCUUUCUCCCCGCGCCGCCGCUGAGCUUCCGUGGAGCUCACCCCCUUGCGCCACCCCACACUCCGGUGACUUCGCCGCCACCCUCAAGCAGCUUCUCCCAACCCACCAGCUGCCUGUUCCUCCACGCGGUACCAGAGAGUUUGCCAGUGAUCCACCAGAAGCUCCGCCACCGCAGGAGCACCGUCGAAGCCUCGCCAUCGCCAAGCCUUAGUGCGUACAACCUUCCACCCAAGUCUACUCCUUCGACCCCAAGGCUUCACCGGUAGACCUGGAGGUAAGCUACUUAACCUCCCUGUCCGGCUCGCCCGACCCUUCCUUUUCGUUUCGCCCGACCCUUCCUUUUCGUCUCGCCCGACCCUUUCCUUUUCGUUUAGCCCGACUCCUUUGUUUCGGUUCGCCUGACCCCUUUUCUUUUCGUCUCGCCCGACCCUUCCUUUUCGUUUCGCCCGACCCUUUCCUUUUUGUUUAGCCCGACCCCUUUGUUUCGGUUCGCCCGACCUGUUUUCUUUUCGUCUCGCCCGACCUUCUUCCCUUCUCGUCGCCGACCCUAUCAGUUCGCUGACCUUUCUCCGCCUCGCCCGAGGGCUCGGCUGUAACUUUUUCUUUGACCCGAGGGUAUCGGUGAAAUAAUUUCGGGGAUUCCUCUGUGUUGAGUCUGGGGACCUCGGUACGGUUUUCCUUAAACUUGAGGGUCAGACCCUAAGUUUUCCCCAACUCGACCCUCUCAUCCUGCUCUCCACCAACAGAAGUUGAACUCCCCCACCUUUCCUGUAGCUUUGCUACAAGUGUCCGUGUUAAAACAUGAGUGUGUUGAAAUAACCAUCUAAAAUGUUUAACCCCUGCAUUGCAUUUCCGUGUAGAGUUGAAUCUCGCCGAUGGAACGUACGAGCUUCACCCGGCACCGGAAGAAGACCCCGCCGCGGAACUGCAUCCCUUCGAAGGAGAGCCCGAACCAGAGCAAGACCCCGAAGACCCGCAAGCUUUUCCUGAAGGCAAGCCCCGGAGCAUAAAUUCCUAUCUUGAGUUCAUGCAAUUUUUGAUUACUUGAUUGCGCAUUUACGUUUCGAGGAGUUGUAAUGGAACCUUAGAUGCAUAAACUUAGUACCUUGUUUUUGAAUACUAGUUGCUAAGGCCGAGUAGUUAUAUUGCUUAAUAGGUUUCGGUAAAAGUCGAGUGAUCUCCUGUCACUCGCGAGUUAUAGGAGUUGAAUGUUUCAGUUAUGUUGCAACUAUAAGGACGACGGACGGGGUCAGGCUUAUGUUCGAUACUUGGUGGAUUGCCCCGUCUGUCUAAAUGAAAAUGAACUAAGGUCAAAACGUGUCGGCGUUCGUGAUCAAGUGUUGGAAAGUACUAAUCUCAUACCUAGUAUAGGAUGGGGAAGCCUAGUACCUGAUUGAACUGGGGCGUGGCAUACCCUCCGGCUGUCCUUGGAACGUCGUUCCCAUGGUGCAUCAUGUGGGUGCAAGUGCGGUCACAGUGCAGCAAUAGGCCGGGAUUGUGGAGCAUUGCAUGCCAAAGGAAGUUGGCCUUAACACGUGCCUAAGGGAUCGAUCGGGACGGCUGACAAAUGAAGCGACCCUUCGUGGUGCGCGGAUGUCGUGAGAUUAGGUUUGCCAUGCAUGGUUAAUAAAUUCGAAUCGAUUCGUCUGCCUCUCACAGUUUGGGACUACUUGAUCGCUAUUCCGCACUGAGUAAAAAAGGAACAUGAAUAUGAGAUUAAGUUGAUGCUUGUUAAGUACUUGCUUGGAAAUCAUGCUUGUUUAGUAUAAGUUGCUAAUCUAGACUGGAUAAAGAACGUAGAACAUGAGCUAAAAUGUUGAAAGUAAGGACUGACUUUAGACGCUUUUGGCAAGAAAACCCCAGAGCCAGAAAGCCUUGCAUGUCUAGGUCUUGGUAGAGUUUUUCACCCUGCGGGUCAGUCUUGCUGAGUACUAGUUGCUCAGCCUUGUUGUGGCUAAUCUUUUUUAGGUAAUGUCAAUAGUUUGGGUGUUGGUACCGCUUGGCCGACCCAGCUUCCCCCAGGCUGGACCGUCGAGUGGGAUCCUUCCUCGGAUGGCGAAGGAAGGAAUUUUUGAUGUCAUGAUCGGCUCCGUCGUGAUGUCAUGUAUCGACGUUUAGUUUCCGCUGUUUUCCUUUUACUUCGACCCAUGCAAAUUUCGGUCUGAAUUUCAAAAACUCUGAUGUAAUAAAUUGUUGAACUAUGUUGUCAUGAUGGAAUGUUGUAACCUCUGUGCUACUCACCUUCGCGUGAGCGAUGCUUCUCGAUCCUGUUUAUGUGGUUUGUCGGAUGAAAUCCGACGGUCGACCAAGUUGACUUGCUUAAAGUGCAUAAUCGCGUGUCAGGCGACUUCAAUGCAUUUUAGUCAGGUUAAUUUGGGCGGUUCCACCACAGUACUACUACAAAGCGGUCCCAAAAACUAGCCCUAUGAGAGAUCAUAUCCAUUGAGCUAGCAACGCCUACGUUCCUCAAGUGGUCCGAGGUGCCAAUCACCUUCUCCUUGAAGCAUCAGUGGACUAGUUUCUCAGACCUGGGAUGCUACCCUCUCGUCCUGGACCUAGUAGUCGCACUUUCUCGACUCAACAAAGUACUCAUCGAUGACAGUAGUGGUCUCAACGUACUUUUCGCCAAAACCUUGAGGAAGAGGAGCCUCGACGUUACGAAUAUGCUCACCCCGACAAACUCUCCGUUCUAUGGGAUCAUCCAAGGCAAUGCGGUCGUACCCCUUGGUCAAGUGGUUUUGCCAGUUACCUUCGGGACCAAAGAACACUACCGAAGAAAGUACAUCCGGUUUAAGGUAGCUGAUUUCGGAACUUCGUAUCACACUAUCCUUUGAAGACCUGCAUUGGCCAAGUUCAUGGCCAUCCCGCAUUAUAUGUACCUAGUACUCAAAAUGCCAGGACCCAAGGGAGUACUUUCCCUGCGCGGAGACUUGAAAAGAUCCUAUGACUGUGACACAGAAGCUGUGGAGUUGGCAGCAACUACUCAAGUGCCAAAUUCCAUGAUGCAAGUCUUCGCCACCUCCAAGAAACUGUCUUCAACAGAACUCGAGAUUCCAGAGAAGAAGUCGGGGACAACCAAGGUCAAGCCGACAAGUGAAGUCGAUAUCAAAUCCAUUAACCUUAAAAUUGGUGAUAGCUCCAAGACAGCCCAGGGUUGGAUCCCAAAUAGGAAGCCGCGCUCGUCAGCUUCCUUCGGGCCAACUGAAACAAACUACUCAAGCGGCAAGAUAAAUUUCAGUGGACCGAGGAGGUAGAUCAAGCCCUUCAACAGUUGAAGGACUUCCUAUCAAAGCCACCAGUUCUCAUGGUGCCUAAUCCCAAUGAAAACUUGCUGCUCUACAUCACCGCGACUAUAAAUAUCGUUAGCACGGCGAUCGUGGUCGAAAGACCAGAACUAGGCCAUGUAUACAAAGUACACAUGCCCAUCUACUUCGUCAGUGAGGUGUUGUCGGAAUCCAAAUCUAGGUACCCGCCAGUUCAAAAGCUGUUAUACGCAAUAUUACUCACCUCGCGGAAACUAUGACACUACUUCUAGGAACACAACAUCUCCGUCGUCACGGACUUCCCCUUGGGAGAAAUUCUCCACAAUCGAGACGCAACAGGAAAAAUCUCGAAGUGGGUAGUAGAACUUGGAGCCUUGUCCCUGGAAUUCAAGUUAAGGACUGCCAUCAAGUCGCAAGCACUAAUCAAUUUCAUGGUAGAGUGCAUGGGAAAACCAAGUACCAACACCGGCAGAACGCCCAGAGCAAUAAAUCAUGUACUUUGAUGGGUCAAUCAAGCUCGAGGACGCCGGUGCAGGAGUACUCUUAAUCUUUCUUAAAGGUGAACAACUCAAAUAUGUCUUGCAAAUCUUUUAAUAGGUGUCCAAUAAUGAAGCUAAUACGAAGCGCUUCUGCAUGAGCUCCGCCUGGUAGUCUCGCUGGGAAUCAAGCGAUUGUUAGUCUACGAUGACUUACUAGUAGUCAUCAAUCAAGUUAACAACGAGUGGGAUCGCCACAAGGACAACAUGGAUGCGUACUGCCUGGAAGUACGUAACCUAGAAAGCAAGUUCUCUAGUUUGGAGUUCCAUCACGUGGCUUGUGAUAACAACAUAGCCGCAGACGUCUUAUCCAAGCUCGGAUCUGCUCGUGCUCAAGUUCCAGCUGGGGUCUUUGUACAUGAACUACACAAGCCAUACAUAGCAGAGCCGGCACCUCCAAAAACCACCGAUCGAGGUCAUGAUGCACAAGACCAGAAGGUUAUCAUGAUUGACGUAGAUUGGAGAACCCCGUUCAUUGACUACAUCAAGGAGCACAAGUUACCUCCAGACAAGUCUAAAGCAGAGCAAGUCUCACGGUGUGGAAAGAACUACAUUUUAGUUGGGGACAAGCUCUACAGACGAGGUGCAUCAUCAGGAGUACUCAUGAAGUGCGUCUCACGGCAAGAUGGCAAGGACAUACUGGAGGAAAUCCAUAAAGGCAUCUAUGGCAACCACACAUCCUCAAGAACGAUCAUUGGCAAGGCUUUCAAAGCAGGAUUCUAUUAGCCUACAGUUCUCGCUGACGUCAAAGAACUAGUCCGCGAUGCCAAGGGUGUCAAUUCUUCGCCAAGCAACAACACGUCCCUACCUACAAGUUGAUAACCAUACCAGUCUCUUGACCCUUCGCAUGCUAGGGGCUAGACAUGAUUGACCCUCUGUCUACGGCGCCUGGGGGUUUCAACCGAGUACUCGUGAUGAUCGACAAGUUCACCAAGUGGAUUGAGGUGAAGCCAGUAACCUGCCCCAAGGCAGACAGAGUACUCAACUUCCUCGAUGAGAUUGUCCAUCGCUACGGCUUCCCCAACUGCAUCAUCACAGACUUGGGUUCGAAUUUCAACAACCACGAGUUCUGGGAGUACUGUGAGAACAGCGGGAUCGACGUCCGGUACAUCUCUAUCGCUCAUCUGCGGGCCAACGGCCAGGUUGAGCACACCAACAGGAUGUUACUGGAAGCUCUCAAGAAAAGACUACACGACAUUGGAAACACCAAAGGGGGCAAGUGGCUCAAGAAGCUACCCAAUGUCCUCUAAGGGCUUCGCACCUAGCCGUGCAAGCUUACAGGGUACUCACCCUAUUUCCUGGUCUAAGGAUCAGAAGUCGUCCUCCUCGUCGACAUUAUGUGGAAAUCUCUAGUAGUCGAGCAGUACGAGGAGGGUGCGGUAGAAGAUACAAGGCGUCUAGACUUAGACAACCUCAAAGAAGCUCGCUGUGCAGCACUUGUCCAGUCAACAAGAUAACUUGAAGGAAUUCGCCACUAUCAUGAUCGCAACGUCAAACAACGUUCGUUCAAUAGAGGUGACAUAAUCCUUAAGCGUAUUCAAGACACUAGGGGGCUGCACAAGGUGAAUUCGCCAUGGGAGGACCCUUUUAUCAUCUCCAAGGUCACGGGACCUAGGUCGUACAGGCUACAAACUCUCUCUGGUGAAGAAGUCAACAACUCGUGGAACAUCGAACACUUAUGUCGAUUCUACCCAUAGUUAAUAUAUUCAUGUAAAUUAGCCAUCGGUCUUAGUUGUAUAAUUACAAUUCAAUAAAGCAAAUUUAUUUUCGUCGUAAAAUGACUACUUCUGCCUAAUUAUGACUUGCAAAAGGUUAGUUUUCUGAGCUAUUCAGCUCCCCGGGUACUAUCACCCAACUCGCGACUUGUAUUUACAAGUCUGCAUAAAAGAUAUUUUCUUAUUAUCCAACUCGUUUAACAAAAUUAUCCAUAUGUGGCUUGUAAUAACAAGUCUGUACACAUAUUUUUCGAGUUAUUCAACUGGUUGGGUAGCAGCAACUUGCAAAAAGCAAACCUGCCCAUAAGAUAGUCAGCUCCUUUGGAUAAGUCUGUUCAUCAACGGAGUUACUCGUACUAUCCGAUUUCUUAUCUAGACUAGUUUGUCUAGCUGUAGCUUAUAAUAAUACAUCUGUAAUCUCAUGCCUUGGAAGCACAGUACUCGAGCAACCCAGAUACGUUGUAAGGGUAGGCUCCACCAGACGAAACCCUACCCCUCGGCUCUCUUCCCCUCGUCACUCCCUCUCUCCCCGCAGAUCCACCCGCACCUGGUCGACUACGGCGACUACGGCGCCAACCCCCAUCCCCGCCCCCUCCGGCGUCCUCCUCCCCUUCCUCCUCGGCGUCGUCGACCCCGGCAUGCUUCUCCUCGCCCACCGCCGCCACCCGCAAUGGGACAUUGGCUUCCGCAUUGACCUCGGCUAGUCCGCGAGGGACGACAAGGACCAGGUUGCCAGCCCCAGCUCAUGGUCGCGCUGCCCCCGCCCCACGACGCCGUCUCCGUCGACUUGACCCCGAUGGACGGCGGGGAGGAAGUGGUGCGGAUCGAGAUGCGGGUGGUUCGGAGGCGAGAGGCACUGCGGUCGGUGCGCGUGUCGCGCACCCCCGGGUCCGUGCUGGGGAGGGCGACGGCGGCCGCGCCCGCGCCCGCGCCAGCCGUGGACAGACCUACCGCCGCCGGUGAUUCCGUUUUUCUCUCCCUAGCUUCCACCGACGACCUCUUCCUCAUGGAGAAGUAGGCGGCCGGGGACGUCCUGGUGGUCGCCAUCAUGAGCGCCGCGGGGCCCAUCCUUCCUACCUACGUCCGCAUUGGUUGGUCCAACGGCUGGCCGAGAUGCAGUCUCGGCAGGGCUGAUGGUAUUGGUUGCAAUCACAGUUUCUUUGUAAUUACCAUUCUUAGCAGUCGGAUUUGAUCACGGUGUCUAUUAUUGGUUGCCUUGUGGUCAUAUGUGAAUCUGUUAUAUCUGAGAAUGACAAUUGCAAUUUUGCCUGCACAUUCUAAUGCGGAUGUUUCAAGCUCAGCUAUCAGUGAAUUUGUAGAUUUCCAUAACUUGAGUAACGUAGAAAGUGCAUCCUGCAUACAAAUAGAGUAUAUGUAUCUGACUUGCCAUGGAUCCAUAUACUUCCAUAGCCCUGCAGAGCUUGUGUGUGUCCAUUACCAUUGACCUGCAGACUGUCUCUAUAUAUGUGAAGUGUAGUAUCAUGGCCUGAAUUUUGAUGUGAAAAUCGCGUUGUGUCCUUGAACUUGUGUCCUUUUCUGUCUGAAACUUUGGAUGCUGCUGAACUUAGACUCAACAUGUGUAAUGUAUUUUCUGUCCACUUGGGUUCUUUCUUCCUUCUGUGAUUGGAAGUGCUGCUUGAAUACCUGCUGCCUUUAACAUUGAAUACCUUCUGCCCUGAAUUGCAUCAUUGAAUAUUGUGUGAUUGCUCAUUUGCAGGAAGCCGCUGCCUUGCAUAGGCCCCAAACAGUCCGACCACAAGCAAACCCUGGACAUUCAUGUUAAAUUAGCACUUGUGUACUUGAGGUACUGAAAUGUCUGAUUUCUCGACCACUACAAAUUAGUACAUGUGUAGCCGACCACUACAAAUUAGUACAUGCGUAAUCGACCACUACAAAUGUACAAUUUGUUGCCAGUCUACUUGUACAGAUGUUUUGCUCCUGCCAAAUGUUACUUUAUCUAAAUUGACGCUUUUCUUUUCCACUGUUUUCGUUGUGUUCUCAGAUUUGAUAUAGUUAUAUUACUCUGUUCAACAUGCAUUUGAGUAGAUGUUGGCAGAUGUCAUGGACGGCUAUAUUUGUUUUCCAUAUGCAUGCUUUAGAGAAGAUUUCACAAUUAAAGUUUAUUGUCAGAGUCCUUUGUCAUUUUACAGUUCAGUAGUGAGCCGUUCAGUCUAUCAGUUAGCUUCAGGCUGAUUUGGACUGGGUCACUUGUUCUCCAGAUCGUGUCUCCCAUCAUUCUAAAUACAACUAUGCACUAACGAAUACAUUGAUGUCUAAUGUCUUGAAUGCUCUUCACCUUGUCAUUUUCUGUUGAUUGAAUUGCUACCUACACAUAUCAAUCUGUCUAUCAUUUCCAUAAAAAAAUUAUUCUGUUUAAAGCAUUGCCCAGGUCAGUAUAAAGCAUUAUGUUUAAAGCAUUGUUGAGACCUAAUUAAUUUCAAGCUGCUAGAGUUUGGUGUUUAGCCUAAUACAGUCAUACUUCACACUUGAAAUUGUUUCUAAAUUCAGUGACCAUGGUGAAUUCUUACCCUGGUUUCAAAUGAUGGGAUUUUUCUGGUCUCGUCGAUUACUUUCUUACCCUGGUUGCUUUCUAGGUGCUUUGUUAUCCUAGCUGACAACACUUAAACUUUAUUUUUGAAGGUUUAAUUUUACUCUGUAUAAUCAAGGUGCACUUUGAUUGCCACUCUUACAAGUUUCUUAUAGCUCUGAUUCUGAAAUGUGUUCAAGUGAAACAUAUUUGUAGCAUUACACAUGUUUGUCAUAAGAAUGCUAUUACAACAUAGAGAAAUAUUUUGUUUUGUGUGAUUUGGACUGAUUUUGCUUCCUAGAAUUGAUAGGUGUGAUGGCUCGAGGGAUGUUUUCAGGAUAAUUAUAAUUACCAAAAUAUUGUGUUGAAUGUUUAUGAUGCAAGCAUUGUAGUACUUUCAAUUGCAAAUACUGAUAAUAUUUUCUGACGUGUGCUUUUCAGGUUGAGGACUAGAUGCAGCAAGGAACAAUCAGUUAGAAGAGAUUGGUUGAGGAUAAGAUGCUAGACAGAAACAAGCAGAAGGAAGAAGAGAUUUUUGUUGAUCAUAGCUUCUUUUUGGUACCUUUCUAAUUCAUAAUGAAAUGUAUAUGGUCUCUUGUUUGGUGUGCUUUGUAGCAAUGUUCUAGCGUUCUCUGUGUGUCUGGUAGCUCAAAAGAGAUUUUGCUGCCUAUUUUCAUUUUAGAAUAUUUUAAUAUAUAUUUACUUUGGGCUGUUAAUGGUUUGGGCCAUACGAUCUGUUAAAAUGGGCUAGAAUUGGAUGGCCUGUAAAUUUAUGGGCCACACAAAGAUUCAGCAUAUUGGGUUGUUCCUAAAAAUGGACCACGUGAAAAAAAAAAUCUAACAUGGGCUAAGCCCAUAAAUAAAUGGGCCUGCAACUACGUUGGCAACCAUGUCAGCAGCCACGUUAGCAGUCACAUCGCAUUGAUUUACCUAGUAGUGAUGUGGCCAUUCAAUCCGUGAUGAUUAUUUUCGUCACUAAUUUUGGGCUUGGAAUCCGUGAUGAUUAUUUUCGUCACUAAUUUUGGGCUUGGUUGGGUUGCGCGGGCUCAAGGUUAGUUUAUGAUGGUAUAGAAACAUCACAGAUUGAGUCAAUCUAUGAUGAUUUUGUAGAAAUGCCACACAUGUUAAUCUGUGACGCUCAAUUCAUGACGUUAUGAAAAAUCGUCGCAGAUGUUGUUUUAUGAUGAUUUUUUGAUGAUCUGUGAUGAAAUUUGUCUGUCAUAGAUUACAGGAUUUCUUGUAGUGUUAUUUGAGGUAUGGUACCGCUAUUUAUGUUCAUGAACAACUUAGAUGCUAUAGCCUCAUUUAGCUCCGCUAUUAGCUAUUUUAGAGUGCUGCCUCUAAACCUUUUAGCCCACUAUUUAAAAUAUUGGUUGAAACUAUAUUUUGCUAGGACCUUCAUAUACUGUAUUUUGGUAAAGAUCAUCGCUAUUUUUAAAAAAUAUAUUCAAUCGGUUGAGUUUAUGCACAAUGGAUGCCUAUUUGCAAUAGAAUUAAAUAAGUGCGUGGGUAUUUACAAUAAAAUGAUUUACGAGGGCUAAUGUUAAACUUGAAGUAGCUUACGUGAAUGUUUAUGUAAUUUUAUCAAAGUGAUUGGACCUGCGCUUCUGACUUGUUUUGUGGAACCCCAACGGUUUUACGGCCACAGUCGGUCUGCACGGUUUCCACCCAGUCCCUGUGCAUUUUUAACACGCGGCUCGUAGGAUCCGUUCGGUACCACUAGGGAGCGUUGUGGAGGGGAACGUAGUAGUACAUGCCAGCUAUCAGGCGCACGGCCCUCGGAGUCGGACCUGACCAUCGGUCGGGCACGGCAGCCAUGGCAGCCUCACCGUACCGUACAUGCUCCUCCUCCUCCACCCACAGGCUCGCUCUGCAGGGGGACCCCGCGCGGCGGAUGAGCUCAUGAUCAAGAGCACCCGAGCGCGCGCGGUCCCCGGCGCCCGCCCCCGCGGCCAACCACGAGUCGACAGGGGCAGCGAUGCGACCCGUACGCACGUACGUGGCCGGCUGGCCGGCGGCCUCUGCCAUUAGCUCUCACUCCCUGGUCCGGCUCCGAGCCGAGUACCACGGCUCCACUGCGGGAACGCGCGGCGGGCAGCCGGGCACACCCGUCGUCGCGCGAUCGGGGCGAUGGGAUCACGCUGCGCCAACUUAUAGUACGGGCGUCGUGGUCCGGCCGGCCUGGCGCGCGCACCGGCCGGCGGGCAGUGGUCAGGCCCCCUCUGGCGCACGGCAACUCUGCUCCCGCCGGCCGGCCACCAGGCUCGCGCUCGCGCUCGCGCCUGGGUGCACGCACGGACGGCCUUGCAACCUUCGGUGCCCGGCGCGUGCCACCACCUCUUACGCUAGCUGAUUCUGAAAAAGUAGUACCAAUCCAUGAGAAAGGUCGUAGUGCCUGCGUGCGUGCCAGCAGCAUCAAGCUACCAACCAGACACAAAUUUUGUGCUACAAAGUGCCUCAGGAAUUCCAUUCAAGCUCCGUUUGGAUGUCGACAUGCUUCCAUACCAAAUUAGCCCUGGUAUUCAAAUAGGCACAAUUCAAAUUCUACUGUCUGCAUGACCAUUGCAUUGACUUAUGGAAUCUUAUGAACCAUUAGCUCGCCGCUCGGUGAGAAAGAGAAGGGGACGUUGCUGCCCUCGCCGUCCUCGAUGUCGGCUCACCUCCCUGAGCAGAAGAAGGUAGGGGAAGAGACGGCGCGGCUCGUCAGCGGAGGGAGGCAUGGGCCGGCGCGACGUGCUGGCGGAGGGAGGACGGGGUGGCAGGCCUCACCAACGGAAGAAGAACGUGGACGGUGGGGCUCGCCGGCGGAGGAAGGACGAGGUGGUGCGUGGCUCACCGAUGGAGAAAGGAUGGGGUGACGUGGCAAGACGAUGGAGCGCGGUGCGGCACGGUAUCGCGUAGAAGGGGAUUGGAAGGGACGCGCGAGCGGAUGAUUCCCUCCAAUACGAAGGGGGUUGGCUCGGUAUCGGGAGCGAGGGGUUGAUGGGGUGAUGAAUGCCGGUUGGUAUUGAGGUUAGUUUCCAAUUCUGAAUUUCAGGCUAUCCAAAUAUCAAUUCCGAAUUCUGAGGUCGAAUAUCUAUAUCCAAACAUAGUGUCAGAUUUGACUAUUUGAGCAGCAGAGCAUGCUAUAAUCUAUCGUUACCUUGAAUUUGAACUUGAAUAAACAUCUCCCACAACACAUGAUGUACGUGAAUAUUUGUGUGAAGUGUAUAUAAAUGGAUUGGGUAUACAAUAAUUUUACCUACCUUUAAAUUUACAUGUUGAACAACAAUUCUCACCUCGUUCCCACCCUAACAUCAACUCUCACCUCACCUCCAUGCCAUAACGGUGAGGGUGGAAGAGCUAGCGCUCAAGAGCAGAUGAAAGCUACAUUGUACUAAGCAUGGAUUUGUAUUUUGCUUGGCCGAAAGAUGCAAACAAUUCUGCAAUCUCUGGCCUCCUCGUCGUUCUCGACCUUGUCACGUGGUACCACUGAGAAGGAACCGGCCGGCCAUUUCCAGAAUCACAACGGCUCCACCCUUCAUGCAGGAGCAGGACGCCACGGAGCAAGCGACGACGCAGUUGGCUGUUUUCCAUGUAAGGAAUCUCUCUGCUUGCUCCGGCGGGCGGCGGGCCUGACCUCGAAGGACGUGGUUUGGCUUGUGCUGCGCUCCUGCAUCUGCAAUUCUGCAUGCGUUAAUGUUACUCCUUUCCAAGCCAAGCACAGUGACACGAUGAGUCGAUGACUUUUCUCGUGCUGUACAGUGGUAACUGGUAAGCCCUGCCCAGGCUCCUCGUCCACGAGUGUCGUCCUGCACACACGCCGGAGACGAUCACUAUUCGCUGCACAAGUGUGGGGUGCCGUGGACUGCUCGUCAGAUGUCCUGAAUUCCCCUGCUGUUGUGUCUGAACGCCUGUAAAUUGAAACAUCGUCUGCUCACUCCAUUUUAAAUUAUAUACCAUGCAAGACACAAUCUUGUUUGACCAAAAAAAUAAAGGCACAAUCUUGUUACCGCGGGAAGGAUACGUGUUAUUCUACUGGAUUUUGAAAUUAGACUUAUUUCAUGAAUCCUGGUAAAUUUACAGUGGUUGCCGGCAGUCAUGAUGAGUGGACUAAAAAGACACUGGUACUGGUACAUGUACUCCAUAAAUCUAGCUAGCAAGCAUUAAACGUACCAUGUAAUUACUAUGCCUGUGUUAUUCCAUACGUAGAUUUACUCCCUCUGUUAUAAAUUACUAUUCGUUUUAGUUUUUCUAAACACAUAGUUUUUAUUCCGUAUCUAAACAUACAUACAUCUAGUUCCAUAGUAAAAACUAUGUAUCUUGAAAAGUCAAAACGAAUACUCCCUCUGUCUGUAAUACAGCCCGUUUAGAUUUUUUCAAAGUCAAACUUUUUCAACUUUGACCGUAAAUAGCGAAAUAAUCAUAGAGACUACUAACAUAAAAAUGAUAAUAGUAGAUUUAUCAUGAAACCAACUAUCACAAUAUAAUAUGUAAUCUUCUCAAUUUAAAAUAAAUUAUUUUUAAAAUAUUGUUGAUCAAAAUUAAAAGAAUUUGAUUUAAAAAAAUUAAAUGUAACUAUAUUCUAAUACGGAGAGAGUAGUAAUUUGGGAUGGAGGAAGUACAAGAUAGCUCUAGCGUGAUCGAACCAAUGCAAGACGUAACCUUAUGCAUUUUCUUUGAUUACUUGUGCCCAUAUGAAUGAAAGAUGAUGUAACGUAGGAAUACCCACCAUGGGGCAUGUAAGGCCUACAGUUAUCCCAAACUUCCAACUUUGGCACUAUGCAAAAAGAAGAUUUCUCAUCACAUCAAACUUGCGGUACAUGUAUGGAGUACUAAAUGUAGAUGAAAUCAAAAACUAAUUGCAUAGUUUUGUUGUACUUUGCGAGACGAAUCUUUUGAGCCUAAUUAGUCAAUGUUUGGACAAUAAUUCACAACUACAAACGAAAUGCUACACUUGCGCAUUUAUGACAAAAUCCAACUUUGACAAUCCCAAAUUGGGAACUAAACAAGGUCUAAAAGGAGAAGAACCGACAAGAUCUGACAGCUCAGCACUACAUCACAGUUCUAAUAGACAUCACUUAAAAAAUGUACUCUCUUCGUCCCGAUAUAAGGAUUUGAACAGUAAAUAGUAAUAGGGGUGUUUGUUCUUUAGUCCCUCCUAAAAUUCCUAUCUUUGAUACUAAUUAGAAGUAUUAAACAUAGAUUAAUUACAAAAUUAAUUGCACAGAUGAAGACUAAUUUGUGAGAUGAAUCUAUUAAGCCUAAUUAGUCCAUGAUUUGACAAUGUGAUGCUACAGUAAACAUGUGCUAAUGAUAGAUUAGUUAGGUUUAAUAGAUUCGUCUCGUGAAUUAGCCUCCAUCUGUGUAAUUAGUUUUAUAAUUAGCUCAUGUUUAGUCCUCCUAAUUAGCCUUCGAAUAUUCUGACAUGAAUUUUAGUCCGGACUAAAGAUCCAAAAUACCCCAAAGUAUUGAUAGGAAAUGGCAUUAUUGUACCUGUCUAAGGAAAAUAGAGAGUCCAAAGCGCUUCAGCAGUUCACUCAUAUCCCUUCGGUGCUUUAAAUAUUUUUUUUACAAAUAGAACCCACAUGUACUCAUGCAUACGCUGGACUGAUGAUCACUUCAUGCGUUUAAUUUGGGAUAUUUUUGAGCCUUAGAAAUGCAGUCAAAUGCAGUUCCCGAAUAUUAAAAGAAUAUUUAAGUUUUGCCACAUUUCGACUGUAUCAAGAAACCACAUGAACCUUAGAAAAUGUAAUGUCCAAGGAGAUAUCGACAGAUAGUGCUAUAUGCAAAACGGCCAGGUUAAAAAGAAAAUCUAUAGAGUAUAUUUAUAAUUAGAGAUGACAAAUACUUUGAAAUGUAAUGGUCAAAUAAUGUAUUGACUGAUAGUGCUAUAUCCAAAGGGCCAGGUAGAAAAGGAAAUGGAUAGAGUAUAUUAUAAUUUUAUGUUACUCCCCUUCCGUUUCAAAAAAAAAAAUGUUACUCCCCUUCACUUACAAAUAAAUUAAAUUAAGCAAUGUUUAGAUAUCAAUGCGGCCUCUAAAUAAAACAUAUUUACCAUUGCUUUUGGCAAAACAUAUUUAUAAAGGAAAAAGUAGUAUAUUAUUACAAUGUUACAAUUAGUGACACAUAAUAAAGUAAUUUAUAACCAGACUUUACAAUAAUUAACUUAAAAGAUAAAUAUAAAAUGAGAAAAAAAGCUGUGUGACCGGAGCACUAUAUAUAUCCCUUCUAGUGCCAAAUAAAUCUAGCAUAAGCCUUCUCUUUCCAUUCCAUUUAAUCUAACAUGUCAAAAGCUAUCGUUGUUAGUCAAAGAUGAGAUUUGACAGAAACGAAGAAAGGUAAGUUUUAAAAUGCCCUUCCGACCUAUGGCGACGAGUUGCGGCACGGACCGAAUUGAACGACAUGGCCGAGGCCGACGUGCCGCAAGAAACGCAGAUCGAUACCGCAAGCGGCGGCAGGCAAACCAACGGCCGAAACGUCAUCGGCCCAGGCCGAGAGGACGAUGCCCCUGCCCCCCUCGCCGUCCUUGGAGCACUGCCUGCUUUCUGCGCCCGGGGGGAUGGAUCAAUGGAUGGAUGGGCUUGUUACUGCUCCCCUGGCAACCUGAUUAGCACGCCGUCACUGCAUUAGCACUGCUCCAAGCUCUCGCUGAUCCUGAUCACUGCUCUCGGCGUGCUUAAUAAAUAAAAUAAUCCCGGAGCGGCCUCACUCCCCUCAAGCUCAGCUGCGGAGCUGCUCAGCUUAGCUUAAGCGAGCCCAGGUAGAACUAGUACAAGGCCCCGUCCCAUCUACCAGGCCGUCGUCACCCACCCUCCACUCUCUUGGUUCUUCCUCCUCCUGCUCCAACUACGGCCGCCGCCGAUGCUCACCGGAUCCAAGAAGAACGGCCGACCGAUCGAUCGACUCGCCUCCCUGCCAAUUGCUUGCUCCUCCGUGCAUGUGCCUUCUGCAUCUGUUGUCAUCUGGUUGUUACAGGAGAAGACACAGGCGUGAGUGAGAUUAAGAGGCCCUGAAGAGAUUGACAGAAGAGAGCGAGCACCCGGCGCGGCGGCCGGCAUGGAGCGCAUGCCGUCCCCGCCGCGUGCUCGCUCCUCUUUCUGUCAGCCUCUCUCUCGUCCUGACCGGGCCGAGGCUCCCUCUGAUCUGGGCCGCCAUGCCACGCCACGCUGGCGAGGAGGCGACAGAAGAAUUGGGGCGCGGUGGAUGGAUCGGGAACCGUGCCGCCACGCAGAGAUGGAUGGGGGCGACACGCAUGCUGCGCGAGGACGACGGCUUUCGCAGGCUGCGCCAGGCGGCAAGGACAUGUCACUUCAAUUAUCUUCUAGAGAUACGCAUGGAUUUCGAGUAUUUUUUGCUCUCGAUUUGAUCCCUUUCGGUCAGGCUGCUGUCGCGGGGCUACUACCGAGGAAGAGGAUGAGGAUGCUCCUGCUGAUGCUGCUGAUACCGAUGGCACGGCCACGGCGCGGAGAUGGGUUCAAAGAGUACUUUGCUUCCAUGCCUCGCACUGCUCGCAGGCGGCGAGCUUGUUCGUGGUGGGUUUUGCAGUACACUGAAAAAUGAUUGGUAGUUUCGCCGUCUGAUUUUCUGAGGAUUUUCCUUCUCUCUCCCACUCUCCAGACUUGCUGCCUGCCUUGGGAGCUGAAUCGGGGAUGCUGACAGUACACUGCGGCACUGUAAGGAUUUAACAGAACAAAGACUACUGCAAAACUGCAUCGUCUCUCCCUCUCUCUCCCUUCCCUUUCCCAUGGUGCAGCUAGAGCUAGCUCAUCUUCUCUCAUGGGCACUGUAGCCAUUAUUCAUGCGCUGUCUCUUCUCUUUCUUUGCUGAGGCUGCUCUUGUUGUCCUGGAGUUCUUGGGGUCCUCCUGCGGCCAUGGCGAUGCAGGUGGCUCAUGGCUGUGCACCUGUGCUGCUGCUGAGCUCCUGUGUUGGUUCAAAAAUGGGGCAUGGAGGGUACCAUGUGAUGAUCCAUAUUUGGCAAAGACCGUGGACUCUCACAUUGCUUUUUGCCAGAUCUGGUUUGCAUCAAGGUACGUUCUUGUAUCUCUCUCACACACAAGUCACGCAUUUGGCCUUUCAUGGUUUUUGGCUGGCCCCCUUCUUCAUUCUUCAUGAUUUUUCAUCUCCUCUUUCUACUCUAUCAUCAUAUCCUCGUCUCCCUUCCUGAUCUCUUGGAGACACGCAGGGAGAGAAUGGAGACCACGCUGCUGGUCUUUACAGGGUUGCUGGUGAAGAUGGUUGGUAAGAACCACUUCACUUUUGUUUCAUUGGUUUCAUGGCUUCAGGGUGGACUGCUUUAUCAUGCAUUAUCUAGUGGUCCUCCAUAGGACUGUAUGAGUGACCCAUUUGCUGUUGCUGUUUUCUUUCCUUUCGUUCUUUCAGGAUGUGGGCGUCAUGAAUUCAUGGGCAACACAAUUUGCAAUUUUUUCUUAUGACCAAGGUAUGUACAGACCUUUUUCUUAUGACCAAUGUGCAUCCACCAUGUUGAAUUUGGAUGCACAUUUAUGGGUUCUAUUGAUAUUGGAUCUUUCAAAGUUUUGAUAUGUUCCAAUGUUUCGUUUAAAAGUUUAUGUGCUACUGUGAAAACUAGCUAGGAGUUGAUUUGUUGGAAAUUUGGAAUGCAAAGACCAUUUCAUGAGAUAAGAGCCCACAUUUUCUUUGCAUCCCUUGCUGAGUACACAAACUGGAUGGGCUGGGUUAGAAGUUACUGUCAUCUCAGGGAACCUGUUAAGUCAAAACGAGGUGUAUGGUUUUUUAGUUGUGUUAUUAGUUAACCAUAUCUUAAGAAAUCAAGAUGAUGGGAGCAUGUAAUCAAGGUUAAGUGACGAUAACUUAAUCUUUGUCCUAGCUAGUGGAGCACCUUUUUGUAUUGCCUUUCUCCACUCCAAGAGAGAGGAUACGUCGUAUAUGCAGAGAAUGAACCAUCAUAUGAGUUACAUCUUAAUUGAAGUGUGCAGCAGUUUGUUUGCGAUUGCAAGUGUGUGGAAUUGGUUUGGAUAGAUGAUUAAAAAUUGAAAGUUAGACCAUGCAAGCUCAUUUAUAGUUUUAUGUUUUUUUUUUUGUCGUAGCAUGCCGGUGUUGAUUUAAGCCAAGCCAUUUAUUUAACCUCAGAUAAGAAAGAAAGGCAGACUUCUUCUGAUGAGAGAAAAAAAAACAUGGAGAGGAAAAACUGUCAUGUAACCAUACAUGCACUCUUAGUUUCUUAUUUUUGAAAGAAAUGUUCUCUUUAAUUACUCUCUUUGUAAUAUUUUUCUAUUAUUUUUUUAAAUUUUGUCUGUGUGUAGUGUAUACUAUGAUGCUGCUUGCUAUGCAUGCAUGUUUUCUACAUUGAACCCAGCAACAUAUGAUGAACCAAUACCACCGUAUGUAAGCAUACAGUUGCACACCUGUCUAAAAUUUACCGACUAUGGUUGCACAAAUAAAAUGCUUCUGUUCAUCUUGGUUUUCUUGCUGUUCUGUUAGCUUACUUACUGACUGCACCGGCCGGCCCAAAUACAUAUAUAGUUGAAAAGACGAUAUCUCAGAUUAAAAUUUGUGAUAUAGUAUGGUAUCUAUGCUCUACAUAUGUAACCUCACUUAAAAAUACCAUGGUGAGUGUGCAAAUAUGAGUCGCAAUAGAUUUAUAUGGGGGGUAAGGUGUAUUUUCCUUUACUUGAAUGGCUGACUUGCUUUACUAGUUAAUAAAAUAUAUAGAAACAUCACACUGAUUACAUUAUUGUUACUUUGUAGCGACUCGUGUAUCGUUGAACUGAAUUUGACUGUUGAAUUGGAUGCACCAUCUAGCAAGUGCAUUCCUUCAAUUUUCAAGCAUGUAUCCGAAUUGUAUACGAUAGAUCAUGGCUAGGAAUCCUAGCUACAAAGAUUCUCAUGAGUUGGAAAGGGGAACUCCGGUGAGGAGUAGGUCAAACUAGUAAUUUAUAUUUGAGGGCCUUUGGACAAAAAUGUGAUGCUUCCUCCUAGAAGGGUGCUUUAUAUUUAUAAGUAAGUGGUUAUUGAAAUUAAAUCAUUGCUUUAGGUGGGACAACCAUAUGAGGAGUAUGUCAUGAUUGUUAUCUCUAGGUUUGAUUGCAAUGAAAAUCCUCUAGCAUUGAUGUAUUUAACUGGUUGAAGUUGGGUCUCACCUCUCUCGUGAUUAAUCCGGUGAAGAAAUCAAAAAAACUCAUUGCACGUUCCAUAAGGUGUUUAAAAUAGGAUUUCUAAAACUAAGUUGAUCAGCCCAUAUAGAAAGCAUGUCCAAUUUAUUUCUAAAUGUGCUCUAGGGUUUUCUAGGUUUCUGCUCUAUGGGAAGAUUCAUUUUUUACUAGGAACCAGACAUCAAUUCCAAUUCUAAGAGAGGCAAAUUGCAAUGUUGAAAGUGAAUUAAAUGAAUAUGUCAUAUAAAAGGGUGUACGGAGAUGCAAACUUGACUAAUCAACUUUUUCCCAAGGUAUUAGAGGGUCACCGCUCUUUAUUCGUGGAUCAUCUAUGAGCAAAAGCUUUUGCAAGAUCAAUGAUAUCGACUAGAGGGGGGUGAAUAGGCGAGUUUUCAACUAAAAUCACAACACUAAAUAGUUGCAGUUAGUAUCAAAAAAUAAAUUUACUAAUGCUUCACUAGAUAAGCUAGGUGAAGGUUUUUGCUACCUAGGGUGUCAAGAUACAAUUCAAUCUCUAGGAAUGUAAAUUGCUCUGAGUAAAUUGCAUAAAUGUAAAUUUGAGCUCAAGGAGAAACGAAACAUGAGAGACAAAUUUUAUCCCAUGGUAUCGAGUGAUUUAAAGGUCACCCCUAGUCCAUGCUGAGGUGGAUUCAAUGCAAGGUAGCAAAUCGCGGGCUAUCGUAUUUAGUGGUGUCCAUCUCUAGCUGCUAUGGCAGCUAUAGCGCCGGUAAGCAAUUUAGCGCUUCAAUUAAACCUGCAGCUUACAGCACAAAACAUCCUCUACUGUGUGGGACCCACCUGCCACUACCCAUCCUUAUCUUACCUACCUCCUCCUUCAGCUAGCUCGGUCCUCUGUGUAGCCGCUAAUGCUGCUUGUACCACCAAUGGGUCACCAUCUACCCGCGCUUGGGUGACUCUAAGCUCGAAGGCAACCCUCGUGCCGGGAUUGUGGCUGUAGCUCGUCUCCCCAGUUGGAGCUCGCUAUGGGAGCGCACCAGGAGCUUGCCGCUCCACCUACCUCGAACAACGCCGAGCAUCGUCGCCUUGAGCACUGCCGUCGGCACCCGUGCUCACCACUCCCUGCCUCUCCUCAUAGCAAGCUGCCUUUGCUUACCUCCCCUUCCAUUUGAGCACUGAAGCAUAAUUUGGGCCUGCUCGAUGAGUAGAACAAAAUGGCGGGGCUAAAAUCCUAUCGCCGCUACAGCAAUUAGCGUCGCUAAAUCCCGCUAAAGCGCACAUAGCUGCGAUAGCGGAAGAAUAUGCCAUUGUGUAGCGGGGGUGGCCUCCAGAAGCUAUAGCUAUAGCCCUCUAUUUUCUACAUUGAUUCAAUGUGCCAACAGCUUGUUUGUAUGUCACCGUUUAAUCUUGAGCUAGCUUUAGAGCCUUUCCAUGCCACACGUCCACUAGGGUUUCUCACCACUCUGGUGAGGUGAGUACUACACCUCUCACAAGCACAAGGACUCCAAGUCAUCUAGAUGGUAGCAACCUCAAAGAGUGACAAGCUAAUGAUGCUUGCAUUUCUUGAAGUCUCAUUAAUACUACAAAACUCAAAACCCUUGAUGCAAUGCACCAGGAUGUUCUCACUCUCACAAGAAUAAUACAAUAUCUAAGCAAACUAUGGGUAAGGAGGAAGACCAAAGGCUCAAGUAUGUCAAGAAGCUUUUCAAGUGGCCAAGGGGCAUCCCACAUGCAUGGUGGGGAGGUCUGUAUAGAGCUCCCCUUGGAUUCUAGCCGUUAUAGUGACAAACUCGUGAACAUAGCGUUUUCUUGGUCUAACUACAGCUUAUUCUAAAUGUUGAAGCGCAUACUUUGUUUAACCGCCACCUCUAGUGGUUUAACCACCGUUCAUUGUUCAAGUCGAUGUUGUCGGUUUACCCACUACCGUGGCCGUGGUUUAACCGCCAUUGCCGCCAAUUAAACUGCAUCACAAAGUCGACACUCACUAGAACCUCUAAACGUCUUUGAGUUGAGGCAAGUUAAGUUGCGCCUAUGGUCGGUUUUAAUCGCCACAUGUAUUUUUGUCAUCAUAUUCAGUGUUUACUCAUCAUCUCUCUUGAACUAAUAAGUUAUACCUUGCUCCCUCCGUCUUGAAAUACAAGGCAUACUAGAGAUUUUAGGACAUUAGUAGGAGUAGCAAAAGAUGCAUGUACCCCUGAGUUAAUGGUAGUUGCAAAUAACAAGAAACUUAUUUUUAAGUAAUAAUCCACAAAUCAGUCGCCCUUAUCUUAUUAAUUAUAGAAAGAAUUAAAUGUCAAUCAUCCAAAUGUGCCUACAAUGCCUUGUAUUUGAGGACAAAUUUUGAACGCUUGGAUGCCUUAUAUUACAGGACGGAGGGAGUAUAUAUACAAUGCAAGUUUGAAGAAAGUAGGAACUAUAGAAUCAUAAAUGAAUGAACACCAAUCCCCUAUUAAUAUUACCGAUCAUUCCUCAUCCUCUAAUUAUCUCAUGACAUAUAAAACUAAAAGCUGUAUAUACCUUUGCCUUGAGCUCAUGUACGGUAUUAAAAGUCGUACAUCAAGUUUUCAUCCUUGUAGCUCAAAUUUAGUCUCCGGGACUAACCUAUCUGUCAGUGUUUUAUACCCGGCAACCUACCGAGGGGUAUCCCGACCCGAGGUAGUAGAUUGGUUGGUGGGGGAUCGCCGGACCUGGAACUCGAUGGUAAAAACGAGGACACAAAACAUAGAUUUAUACAAGUUCGGGCCGUCAGAGUAGCGUAAUACCCUACAUCCUGUUUGGGGUGUUGUAUAUUGCGCCCUGCGCUUGGGUGUUGUUUGGUGUUGAGGAUUUGAUCCUCUGUUUUGGUUCUAUGAGGUCUUCGCCUACCAAUCUAGGGACCUCUGCGUUCCUUUAUAUACUCCAUGGGGUGGGAUUACUAGUCAGUUAGAAGGAGGAGUCCCAGUAGGAUUACAGGAGAAUCCUAGGAGAGUCUGUCUUCUUCCUUCCUUGCGGGGACCAGGGAUCUAUCCCCGACACUAUUUCAAUUCUUAAAUAGAAUUGUUUGUCCACAUAAAGAAUUGUCAUUAAUACCAAGAAACCAAAUUAGGAGCCUAGGCACUUCAACUUAUUUUUCCGACCAUAUGCCACUCAACUCACUCUAGAAAUCUACUCCAAACUACUCAUAAAAUGGCUUUGCAGAUGCUUUAUAAUCUGCUUUGGUGGAUCACAAGAUCAACGCUGAUAAGCCAUCCAUGUUUUGCCGAGUAACAAAGAGUAACUCAGUUUGUCUAGCUGGCUGAUCACCUUUGUUGGAUGUGAAUUAACACUAAUCAAUUCUUAAUCUUUUACUAACUACCUUGGCCUUCGAUUAUCUCUACUUGGGUGGCAAGAGCUCUCAAAUAUAUGUAGGAGAUUCCCUCUAGCCCCAACAACCUUCAAAUGAUCGGAUGUCAGGGUAUAUAUCUUCUCUGUACCAUAUCAUUACGUUGCCCACCAGAACAUUGGUGAACCUCGACCCUUUCUAAGGGUCAUAAAUUCAACUAUUUGGGCCUAUAAUAAAGAACCUCACUGUACUAUAUCUAGGUUUCCAGCUGCAUCGUUGCCACUCUUAGAUGUGCUUUGGUUAGAUUGCUAAUGCACUGUACCAUCCUACCAUAUGAUAUGGUGACUUGAGCUAGUAAGGAACCUAACUUGCAAACUUUCUCUUUCUAGUCAAAUGAUGCUCCUAUGUAUAACACGGUUACCCUACAUAUGAUCUGGUGGCCCUAAAAAAUUGUCUAUGCCUUCAAUCUACUUGCAUUUUAUCAUAACCUGUUACGUUGUGUGCUUAUCCAUACAGUGUCAUAUGCUUGAAUUUUCUUUCAUUCUAGGACUAAUUCCUCCAUCCAUCACACAUGCAUGAACUGUCGGUCACUCUUGUAGAAUCAAUGUCCUUUUCCACUUACAUUUUCUGGAGAUCUCUAUGUUCAUAUACAUUCUUGAAGACCAUUUGCAUGUUAAAGUGUAUUAUCGAUUUCGUGGCAAUUUCACCUUACUGGACGUUUUCUGUUCAAGACAGUUGUUCUUGACUCUUUAUUUGCACAUAUACACGAAUAUACAUCUUCAACCACAGGCAGACUUGUUCUUGCAUCAUUUCAAAAUUGUGGCCAAUUUUCCUAGGACAUUGCAGGAUUACAUCAUGAAUCUUGAAAUGGGUCAUUUGUUCUGGGGUUCCUUUGUGCAAUUUUUCUCAUAUUAUUCACAUUUCACUAUCAAAUUUUGAGAAAAAAAAAAUAGAGGAACAUUUUCCUACUUUUUCAUGAAUCUGAAACCAUUGCACAUUUUUUUAAAAAAAACAUUGAACAAAUGUCAUUAUGCAUAUAUGCUCAUACUUACAUUACAUACUUACGCACAUGUUUAUGUGAAUUAUUACGCUUGUCUAGAAAAGUCAUUAAGAUCCUAUUGACGACCUUUCAGGAUUACCCUUCAAUGGUUGUACUACCCCAGCUGGUAUCUGCAGAUUACAUUGACAUGGUUGUACCAUCGCAAGAUUGAAUUACAAUUGAAAGAAAGCUGAGACUUGAAUUAAUGAUUUAACUCCACAAUACUGUUGUUAAUGUUUGUAUUAGGUUAUUUUCAUUUAAAUUUUGAACUUUGGGGGGUCGGCCUUUGUGGUAGUAUGAUUGGCUUUAACAAGUCUAAAAGAAUAUAAAUUUGCCACAGUUUUCUAAAUGAAACAGAGUUAUUUGUUUUGAGUGAUUAGGAAGUUCUUUUCCUGAGAACAUGAGUGGUUAAACACUUAAAGCUGCCUUUUGCCAGGCUGGAAAAGUAAUAUAUACAGCCAAAUGCAUUAUGAGUGCAAGUAAUAGGUACAGUAGUGAGCGGGACAGAAUGAGGCUAGCCAUAAGUCAUGCAUCUUUGAAGUACCUUCUAGAAUAUAUUUCAGAUGAAUGGCUUUCUUGCCACAAGAUGACAAGAAUGACUACAUUCUGGCGUGUGGCAUGUUUUCAAGCAUACCGUAACAGCUGCUUGUUUUUUUCUGGAAACAAAAUAAAUGAAUCAUUACUACAAUGUCCCUGUCCUUUCUGCUUUCAUACAAAAAAAAAAUCAAGAAAUAUGUUGCAACUUUAAUUAGAGAUACAAAUGAAGUACAAAAUAAAUUACUCAUCACUAUGAUAUGCCUGUCCUUUCCAUUUCCUAGAAAAACUUGAAUUAAUAUGCAUGAAAUAAAACUCUUCUAGUGCUACUUUAUACAUUUUAAUGAAAGUACUGAAUGCAGAAUGCAUGCAUUGUUUUAUGAACGAUAGGCGUUUUAAUAUUGUUGUGUAGAAGAAGCCCAGAUACUUGUGAUUUUUACCGCCUCACAUGGCAGUGAACUUACAACCAAUUUUCA
rnacentral:lncRNA from 1 species